rnacentral:lncRNA from 1 species
UUGUGUUUGAUUUGUUCUUCUUAGGAUUCUAGGUGAGCGAGAUUAGGAUCCAUUUCACUGGUUUCUCUGUUCAGAUAUGCCAUUGGUAGAUAUGUUUAGUCUCUGAUCCUGGAUGCAACAUUUUUCAAAGCUGAAGUACAUUCACACGUACCUUUCUUUCCUUCCCUUUCUGCUUGGGAAUCAUUCCGACAACGCUGAACCACGGCACAUUAUUCAACCACGGCCACCUCCGGAUCGACUUUCCAGUAGUUAGUGUCGUUGUACUCCUGCUGUAUAUUCUCAUCAGUGCUCUCCUUUCCCGGCGAGUCUGUGGCGCUGUUUCUCUUCAUUGGCCCUGCCUCUCCCACUAUCCCUUCCUUUAGAAGAGCUUGAUCCAUUGCCCUCUCGGUUCCUUCUGGCUCUACUCCCACAUACUCAACGUCUUUGCCAAAAAACGAAGGCACAGGUGGUGAUUUUGGGCUUACCUCGCCUUCCGAGGAUGACGAUCCGUUUGGGACUCUCACAUCAGGUAUCUUCAUGUCAUCUGCAGGAAAAGGAUCUGUCACCUCUGCAGCGGAUGAAGAAGAAUCUCCACGUUCAACCAUUUCAGGUGACGAUUCACCUGAAACCACAUCUUCAUCGAUCUCGAUAUCUCCGGGUACGGUGUUUACAGAAACUGCGUCUGAGGUCGAAGCUGUGGCUACAAAAGGGUUCUUGCCUUCUGUAAUCAAACAGUCUUCUUCAUCAUUUUCAAUUCCAUUACCGGAAGUUUCAUUCAAGCUUACAUCUUCCAUUGCUUCCUCUGAACGAAUGGCCCCUGUUCCUGUGCUGUCACCCAACUCAUCUCCUUGGAACGUGAACCAGUUCGAGUUUGUGAAUAAAUUGCUGCAUCAAGAAAGAAGAAAUAAAACCGUUGGGAUUAAAAGCUACACAACAAAUGAAUUAACAAGCACCCCUCCAUGGUGGUAUAUAUAUAAAUCAUAUUUGGAAGCUUACUUGUUCUGUUCCUCACCAAGCCUUAGAGAUGAUAUAACAACUUCAGUAGAUUCGUCAUCUAAGUACACAUCCUACCAAAUAUGUUGCAGUCAAGAGUCAGGACUAUUGUCGACAGUGUUUUCUUUAAACAUUGAAUGAAUAUAUUAAUAAUGAAUACCUCUUCGUCUCUGUCAUUGGAACCAUGAUCCUGGAACCAGAAGCGUUGGAUUUAGAUCCAGCAAACAUUUUAACAAAUACUAACAAGAGAGAUUAGCAAUUACCUCCCCAGCACCAUUGUUCUCUUGCAUGUUGUAUCUAAAAUGGUUCAAGUUAUUAGCUAAACCAGCAAGGUCAUAAUCCCUGUCGUGAACUUCAUCAUCGUCACUGUCCCUACUCCUAUCUUGUAAUGCAGUUGGGUUUCUGCAUGCGAAACAAGUAAAGUGAUUGUUAUCAAGAGGAGAUACUAUGCUAUCUAUCUAUAAACCCAAAGGUGCUAAGACCAAGUUUCCAAUGAUAUCAACUUGCAAGAAGAUAAAUGAGACUGCAAGCCCAAGAUGUGAGAAGAGACAGCAUACCCACAAACCCAGCGAUAAACAUUCUCAACUGCGUUUCGGUCAUGCAAUGUAUUAGCUUCCCACUCGCCCCAUUCGUUAUGUUCCUAGCAAAGGAAAACGGUAAGCACCAGCAAGUUGUAUCUACCAAACAAAUUGCAACUAUUUGUACAGAAGAGUUUAGGUAAGACAAUGUCUCAAUAUUACAAGAAAAAACAUGGUUAUACAUGGAUUAAUUUAUUAUGAACUCAUUUUGAUGGGUUUUGCAGGAAGAACACAAGUAAUAGCACAAUUAUUUAACACAACUUAAAUGGUUAUAUGUAGAAAGAUAAUGCUUACAACAGUAAAUUCGCAAUCAUUGUUGCUGAAAAACGAACCUCAAGUGAAGUCUUUAUUAGGUUAUUGUUAGUCGACAGCUGAACAAGCUUGUUCGAAAUUCUUGAAAUAUGACCAAUAUUUCCCACCCGUGGAGCCUGCUUUCCAGCAACAGGUAUCGUUGGCUGCAUGAAAGCAGAAUCAAUGUAGCCUAUAAAUGAGUACAAUAUCUGCUAGAAAAGUGGAUAUAACACGCUAUUUAUCUGAAAAAAGAGGUAUAACAUUAACUACGUUAUCUUUGCAUGUAUACGCUCUCUUGACGCCAUAUAUUUAAAAUAUGUAUCACAGUACUAAGCACACAAAUAAGCAUGAGUGAAACAGUUCAUACCUGGUUUUCACCAGAAAGGAUUGGCUGUUUCUCUAUUUUAAGAAUUUUUCCAAUCAAAUCACACACGUGGAGAAGAUGGUCAACAAUCUCAUCAUUUUUGCUCUCCAAACACGAUACUAUUGUACUCUCCACCUGAUGGUGCAGUGCAUUAUUAUAUGGGUACCUAGCAUACGAAAAACGGGUAAUUGAGAAGUUGGAUUUAGCCAAGAAAAACAUAAAGACUUGGGAAGUACCAAACAAAACAAGAGUUCGUAAUCAAGUCACGAAGUAGUAUUUACUCGAAGAAUAGAUCAAGGACUCUUCUAAUAGCUCCUGAGCUCGCUAGUUCUUUUCCUGUAGCUACACUUUGCGUUUUCAACAAGAUAGCGAUGAACUCCACGAUCUAAGACAAGCCAUCAGCAAGACAAAGGUAGUCAGAAGAAAAUAAUUGAAUAGAAAGCACACAGAAGCGUAUAUGUGUAAUUUCAAGAUCUUAUGUGCCCAUCUUACAGUCAGACCCUAAAGAUUAUUAAAAUUAAAAUUUCACAAUGACCUUCAGGCGAUGACUGCCAAGAGGAGGUCUCAACUGUCCAUACGUUAUAGGUAACACCUUUUCAUCAGAGGUCGCGUUUAAAAGUUUGACAAAGUCACCUACAGCAAAGAUUUAAGCCUCAAAGAGAAGUUCAAAGAAGAGCUCCAAGCACAUAAAAAGCAAAAGGAGCCAAAUCAAUCAAAUACGUUCAACAAGAAUGAGAGCUCUAAUCAAUCAGGCAAAAAAGAACAAAGCAUAUAUCCAGAAACUGCUAAUAAGAACGUGGAAUAAAAGCAAAUGAACAAACAAAUAAAAAAAAAGAUUUUAAUUCUCGUGCAAACAUGCAUUAGUAACCUUAAACAGCAUAAGUGAACAUAUGUUGGGAUAAACCAAAAAGAUGGAACUGGAUCCUAUCCGUAUAAAAGGGAUAUUAAUGUUGUGAUAAAAGAACAAGCAGCAGAAAAAACAAGAAACAGACAUGCGACACAUGUAAAGAACAUAGUGGUCAUUUGUAGUUUGUAUCUCACUAACCAAGCCUAGGCAGCAUGGUGGCAAUAGUCUCCGGAUUCACAGAAAUUGGAGACUCAAAGAUUUGUUGGCCCCUGAAUGAAUACAUAAAGGAAGAAGAAAGUAGAGAUCUUCUUGGGCUUAACAAUGAAAUGCACACCGAGAGUGUGUGGACAAGGCUAGAUUUGGACUGGGGAUCUCCGAAAGCAUGGCCGAAUAUCCUUGCAACAAAACUGCAGACAAAAAGAUCACUGAAAUUAUCUUGAAAAAUAAGUAUGUUUCUGCUUUAGGAUAAAACAUCAUGCAAACCUACCUUGAACUGGAGAGCUUCGUAGCCAAAGGUGAUGGUGCAUUUUGUGCAAUAGUGCACAGUGUUUCAGCAGCAUUUGCAUGAACUUCAAGAAAAUUCUGAUAAAACAGAGUAACAAAGAAAAUCAGAAAAUACUUCUUGUUUGACCGAAACAGUAACCACUACAGAGUGUUCUCUUUACCAUAUUUAUAGAUUCAGAAGUAGAUAACCCAAUCACCGAACAAAGAAGACAAUAGAUGUGCAAGCACGGGAGUCCAACUAUCCUCUCUAUAUAUCUUAUAACGCACAUGCUUGCUAUAUUUCAAUCAUUUGUAGCAAAAUAUUAGCCUUGUUCUUUUUACGAACGCUGUUCCCCAGCGUCAGUAACUGAAAAGUACAUCUUCGCGAUCGGAAAUGCAGCGCCGUUAACACAAGACAAGCAUACUUUUUCAGCCGCGCGGUUAGACGCAAUAACAAAAUUAGACACUGGAAAUAUCAGCGAUAGCAGCGUCUUCAUUUUUAGUCGCUGCGGCAAGCUCCGGUAGUUUAAUUCACUUUCAAAAUCGAUCAUCUUGUCUCCACCCAAAUGUUAUUCUUUGUCGCUACCGCCGGCCGCAGCGGCUAUGAAAAGAACAGGGCUAUUGUAUACUUACUGAUGGGCUAAGCUUAUCAACGACCAUUUCAAGCAGAUUGCUAUCAGCUAACCAUUGCAUCACAUCCAUGUGGUUGGGAUAAACAUGAUCAUCCGCACCAACCAACCGAAUUAGAAUCUAGGAAAAUCAGAUCAACAUUAGCUUAAAAGUUAUUACCAGAUCAUAUGUAAGGAUAAGAGGAAAGGGACGGUUUACCUCCAUAUUGGAUGUAAUCCCUAUCAAAUCAACCAGUUGGUGGAAAACAUUCUGAUGGCUCUGUAGAUGGUAUUGUAAAACAUUAGUUACUAUAUUUAUAUUGACUGUACAACAGACAAUUAACCCAACAAGUUCCGGAAAAAGGUGCAUCUCAUAUGUUCAACUACUCAAGGAUUGUCUGGAUUUCAGCUUACUAUGCUUUCUGCCAAACAAUCUAAUUUUCAACAAGAUCUUAGUAUGGGAUAUUUAUAAAAUAUCGAGAUAAAACUCACUUUUACAUAGUUCAUCAACGGCACCGUCUUCUUCAACGUGGAACCGAAAUUCGCACUGUCGAUUUCCAUUUAAAUUAGGAAAGUUAGGAAAACACUAAUUUUUCAGAGGUCCCGGAUAUCUGCUAAACCACACGCCAAACAAUCAGAACACAAAAUAAAGACAAGAAAAAUAAGAAAUCGAAAAGAGAGCAAAAUAGAUCUUAUUCCGAAUCUGCGAGAGUCUGGGCUACGAGAGCUGUCGGCGAGAUUCCUAGUUCUAAAAUCCCUAGACUGCAAGACCUAAUUGAGCCGCAGCUCGAAUAACAAAAAAAGAAAAUUGCCUAAAAUUGCUCUAAGUGCUCAGUUUUCUUUGAAAAAGUUCUUUAUUUGUGCCUCUCGCCUAGGACUCCUUAUAUACUCCCUCCAAGGUCGGUUUGAGCUUUUCCCUUCCUGCCCUUAAGCCGUCAAAACUCGAAAAUGGAGAUAUUCCAUUUUUCGCGGAAACUUAACAUUUAUUUGCGGAAUCUUGACAUUUAUCCUUUCUUGUGGACUAAAUAAAAACCGCCAUAGUAUCUAUGAGUUUUUCCUUAAAAAAUAGUAAGUGGGUUUCUAAUCGCGUUUUAGACCUAUUUGGGCAGUCUUUCGAUUCAAAACGUUUAUCACGAUUUUUAUCGAUAAGAAUGAACUUUCCACGAUUUUUAUCGUAAAGUUUAAAUGAUAACUCCAAUCGAUGGGAGUGAGAAAUGAUAUGACUACGGUACAUAGAGCUAGUAUUGAGGAACAGACGAGAAUGCACGGAUUUGGGUCGUACCCGUUGAUCGAUGACCGAGAGGCUUGGUCGGUCGCUACGUAGCGACCGGCUUGUUCGCGGGUCGGUCGUUACGUGGCGACCUUGUUUGCAUAUUUUUCCGUCGUUUCAUGAACGUGUUCGUUAGUUUCGAUAAAUGAACCAAGAUUGACGCAAUAUUUCACCGCAAGACUUUUCGUAAAAGUAAUCUUUACGAAGAAUACUUUUCGUAAAAACGUUCAUGUUAAAUUUUACUGAUAUUUGGAUGUUAACUUCGUCGUGUCCGUUUUUGACCCCAACGCCCCAGCCCAUUAGAAUCGUGGAUUGUGACGAGAUUCUAGUGCGCGGUUUGGCGAGUUAGGCAAGAUAGGCGUGUUGGACGAAGUUUAUAUUCAAAAAUUCCGCGGAAAAAUAUUGAUGAAGAAAUAUAUAUAUAUAUAUAUAUAUAUAUAAAUCAAAAUCUUAAACUCCUACCUCUAUAAGUAGUGAGCUCCCAUCCUUCAUUCCCUUCACACAUUUCUUUCUUUCCGAACUCUUUCUAGCUUCUUUUCUCACUUUUAGCUCUCAAGAUGUCUUCUUCCCAAAACGACAAGAAGAGUUCUGAUGCUGAGAUGGCUGAGGCCUCCUCCCAGGCGCCGGGGUCAACCCCUUCCGACAACGCUCCGGCCUGUGUCGCCGGUUUCCUCUCUUUCCGAGAGAAGAUGGCUCGUCGUAAGGCUGAGAAGGAAAUGGCCCGCGCCGACGCCGAUCUCCCGUCCUCUUCCGUUCUGGUUGUCGCUCCGACUCACGAACUCGAGGUUCAGGUUCCGCAAGGUACGGGAGCGCAAGUCAAAACGGGCAUCCGUUCAUGCCAGAUGCUUUGGUGCAGCCUUCUGGAUCGUCUACGACUCCGAUUCUCAUCGAGGGCAACGAAAAGGCCACUGAGGCGAUGCCUCCUCCUCCAGCUAGGAAGGAGAUUGUCCUGGCAUUGCGUGCUCCUAGCGCUACUCCGAUUGUUCAACCAAAGGGCCGGAAGAGAAAGUGUGUUAGGUGCAACGACGGGGAAUCUUCGCAGCAUGAAGGAUUGAAUCUGGCGUCAGGACUCCACGAAAAGGUUUGUUCUUCACUUUGGCUUUUUAUUCUUAGAGCGUGAGGUCUUGUUUAGCCCUGUUUUGCUCCGCAUCUCUAAUUGUUUUACCUCAUCUCGCAGUUUGUGUCGCUGAUUGAUGGGAUGAUCAGCGAAUGCGGUUCCGAGGUCAGUCGUCUUGCGAGAGAUUUGACCGAGAUGCAGGACCUGCCGAUCGAAGAAGGGUCAGAGUCAAACAUGGAUGGGUUCAUUCCAUAUGUGCCUCGGACGAAGAGAGAUAGGUUGAAGCCUCGCAAGGACAAACAUCCUAUGGUGGAUGAAGACAUGGUUGACGGGCAGCUUUCUCCAGACAACAUACUCAAGGACUAUCCUGACAGUCAAGCUGGUGGAAGCAGCAGCGAGCAGUUUAAUCUCAAAGGGUUGCUCGAAUUCGAUUUUCCUCCGACCGAGGGUGGAUCCAGCGAAGUGCCAGAGUUUAUCAAGGCGGCGAGGAUGGUCAAUGGGGUAGGUUCUCAUCUAUGAACAUUCUCGGAUUUUUGUUUUGGCCAAAGCUUCCUUGACUUUGAGAAUUUUCGCAGCACCUUCGUAUGAUAAAUCGAGCCCUUGACACGAGCAAGCAAGAGGCUCACAUGGCUCGAUUCAAUGCUGGGGUGGCUGAUAAAGAGAUUGCUCGUCUGAACGAUGAGUUGGAAAGUUCUCGUCGUCGUGAGAGAGAGUCAUUUGAGAAGGAGGUCAACCAUGCCUAUAGGCGAAGGAAGAGAGAGGUGGUCGAAGUUAUGAAGAAACGUCGUUAUUAGUUCUCCCAAGAAUUUGGAGAGCUCAAGGGGCGUUACAAGGCACUCGCGGAUUAUCGCAAGUGUCGUGGAACGGUGGGUGGUUUGUAUCUUACGCAGCUUCCUGACUACUCGUAUGCUGGCGAGUAUGCGACGCAGACCGGGCGUUUGGCCGAGAAAGAUAAAAACUUUGCAAUAUAUGAGGUCGAGGAAAAGAUUUGGGAGCAAUGGGAUCCGGUUCCUGUUUCUCCCGAUACGGUAGAGGCCGAGAUGGGAGACCUUGGUGAUACGGGAUACCUUGGUGAGACGGGUGAGGUAAACCAGCCGGUGGCUCCGCUCGAUGGCUCCGCUCGAUGGCAACGACUACUCGAUCGGAAGCUCGAUGAGUGGGAACUUUGACCUUGGCGAUUGAUUGUUAGGUUUGCUAUGAGUCGUUCUAGAGAGUAUUCCCUUAACUUUGUAAUUUGUUUCUGUUAUUUGUUUGCUUGCUGGCCCAGUAUGGCCGUGUUGUUUUUAUGUAAUGGGACUGGCCGUGUGUGGCUUCGAAUCCCCGGCUUUUGUGUUUGGACCAUGCUUUUAUAAAAAAGGAGGUUUUCAAGAAUGUUAAGAUUUUUGCUAAGUGUAAGGGGAAGGAUCCGAGUUGCCAUCUCGUCCAUCGCCUCUCUUUGUGGAUUGUCAAACUUAUUUCUCAUUGAAGCUGUGAGAGCGUUUUUGGUAUAGACGAAGAGACAUGCUUUCAGGAUCUCAUAUCUUUUCGAUAUCAUGCCUUGAGACGUUAGAGACCAGUGUGCUAGGUUUAGGGUAAGACCUACAUUUACUUUCGGUUAAAGGCUUUUGCGAUGACUAAUCGGCUUUUGUUUUCCCUGUUGCGAUUUUAACCUGACUCCAUUCCGCAUUAAAGUCCGUGAUAUGUUCUCGGCUUAUACGACUUGUAUGGUACGAAUCGAGCAUCUUCUCCGAGUCAACUGGAAGUGAGAAUUAGCCUUACACUCAGAAGUAGAAGCACUGCGAUUGGCGAUGGAGAAUAUUCUUCAACAUUCACUAUGCCAGAGUUUUGGGACAGAUUGUAAAGAGCUGAUCGUCAUGAUCAAAGAACCUCAUGCUUGGCCAAGCUUUCUAACGGAAUUAGAGAGGAUAGAGACUCUGCAGAUAUACUUCCCGGAUUUCAAGAUCACUCAUGUUUCACGAGCGCAUAAUCAGAUAUCAUACUUUUUAGCUAAAACUGCUAGAUCUUUCCAUCGAGAACUAUGUUUUAUUAAUUACCCAUACCACCUCAAGUUUGAGUAAUAGAAUAGUUUUUCGCUGUAAAAAUAAUAAUAAUAAAAUAAAAUACACACGUCCUAGACUAAAAGAAAUUUUGACUUGCUUUUUUUUUUUAGCUUCAAUUUUAUUUUCUAGUACUCCUACGUUCUACACGCCUGCGCCUUCUCUAGAUAAUGGCGACAACAUCUAUUUCAACCUAUGGCGUAAUGGAAAGCUCUCUAGAUAAUGGCGACAACAUCUAUUGCCACGUAUGGCGUAAUGGACAGCUCCACUUCACUUAUUACAUACACUUUACAUCCCUCGGAUAACCCAUGUGCAUUAAUCACACCGGUUCUUCUUCGAGGAGACAAUUAUCUGAAUGGGCGAUGGAGGUUUGGAAUUCUCUCCAAGCUAAACAGAAGAUUGUGUUCUUGAUGUUUGUAGGAUGGAUACGAACAUCUACGGAGCCUAGGUUUGAUCCAUAGUUUCUCUUCUUCCAGAUGAUUUAAAACUAUGGGAUUCUCUCAGUCGACACUCAAGAACAUGUUGUCCAUUCUGUUUGCAGUUGGUGAUUUCAUUCUCCAUAAGAUGCUUUCAUACAACAUAAUAGCCUUGUUCUUUUUACGAACGCCGUUCCCCAGCGUCAAUAACUGAAAAGUACAUCUUCGCCAUCGGAAAUGCAGCGCCGUUAACACAAGACAAGCAUACUUUUUCAGCCGCGCGGUUAGACGCAAUAACAAAAUUAGACACUGGAAAUAUCAGCGAUAGCAGCGUCUUCAUUUUUAGUCGCUGCGGCAAGCUCCGGUAGUUUAAUUCACUUUCAAAAUCGAUCAUCUUGUCUCCACCCAAAUGUUAUUCUUUGUCGCUACCGCCGGCCGCAGCGGCUAUGAAAAGAACAGGGCUAUUGUAUACUUACUGAUGGGCUAAGCUUAUCAACGACCAUUUCAAGCAGAUUGCUAUCAGCUAACCAUUGCAUCACAUCCAUGUGGUUGGGAUAAACAUGAUCAUCCGCACCAACCAACCGAAUUAGAAUCUAGGAAAAUCAGAUCAACAUUAGCUUAAAAGUUAUUACCAGAUCAUAUGUAAGGAUAAGAGGAAAGGGACGGUUUACCUCCAUAUUGGAUGUAAUCCCUAUCAAAUCAACCAGUUGGUGGAAAACAUUCUGAUGGGUCUGUAGAUGGUAUUGUAAAACAUUAGUUACUAUAUUUAUAUUGACUGUACAACAGACAAUUAACCCAACAAGUUCCGGAAAAAGGUGCAUCUCAUAUGUUCAACUACUCAAGGAUUGUCUGGAUUUCAGCUUACUAUGCUUUCUGCCAAACAAUCUAAUUUUCAACAAGAUCUUAGUAUGGGAUAUUUAUAAAAUAUCGAGAUAAAACUCACUUUUACAUAGUUCAUCAACGGCACCGUCUUCUUCAACGUGGAACCGAAAUUCGCACUGUCGAUUUCCAUUUAAAUUAGGAAAGUUAGGAAAACACUAAUUUUUCAGAGGUCCCGGAUAUCUGCUAAACCACACGCCAAACAAUCAGAACACAAAAUAAAGACAAGAAAAAUAAGAAAUCGAAAAGAGAGCAAAAUAGAUCUUAUUCCGAAUCUGCGAGAGUCUGGGCUACGAGAGCUGUCGGCGAGAUUCCUAGUUCUAAAAUCCCUAGACUGCAAGACCUAAUUGAGCCGCAGCUCGAAUAACAAAAAAAGAAAAUUGCCUAAAAUUGCUCUAAGUGCUCAGUUUUCUUUGAAAAAGUUCUUUAUUUGUGCCUCUCGCCUAGGACUCCUUAUAUACUCCCUCCAAGGUCGGUUUGAGCUUUUCCCUUCCUGCCCUUAAGCCGUCAAAACUCGAAAAUGGAGAUAUUCCAUUUUUCGCGGAAACUUAACAUUUAUUUGCGGAAUCUUGACAUUUAUCCUUUCUUGUGGACUAAAUAAAAACCGCCAUAGUAUCUAUGAGUUUUUCCUUAAAAAAUAGUAAGUGGGUUUCUAAUCGCGUUUUAGACCUAUUUGGGCAGUCUUUCGAUUCAAAACGUUUAUCACGAUUUUUAUCGAUAAGAAUGAACUUUCCACGAUUUUUAUCGUAAAGUUUAAAUGAUAACUCCAAUCGAUGGGAGUGAGAAAUGAUAUGACUACGGUACAUAGAGCUAGUAUUGAGGAACAGACGAGAAUGCACGGAUUUGGGUCGUACCCGUUGAUCGAUGACCGAGAGGCUUGGUCGGUCGCUACGUAGCGACCGGCUUGUUCGCGGGUCGGUCGUUACGUGGCGACCUUGUUUGCAUAUUUUUCCGUCGUUUCAUGAACGUGUUCGUUAGUUUCGAUAAAUGAACCAAGAUUGACGCAAUAUUUCACCGCAAGACUUUUCGUAAAAGUAAUCUUUACGAAGAAUACUUUUCGUAAAAACGUUCAUGUUAAAUUUUACUGAUAUUUGGAUGUUAACUUCGUCGUGUCCGUUUUUGACCCCAACGCCCCAGCCCAUUAGAAUCGUGGAUUGUGACGAGAUUCUAGUGCGCGGUUUGGCGAGUUAGGCAAGAUAGGCGUGUUGGACGAAGUUUAUAUUCAAAAAUUCCGCGGAAAAAUAUUGAUGAAGAAAUAUAUAUAUAUAUAUAUAUAUAUAUAAAUCAAAAUCUUAAACUCCUACCUCUAUAAGUAGUGAGCUCCCAUCCUUCAUUCCCUUCACACAUUUCUUUCUUUCCGAACUCUUUCUAGCUUCUUUUCUCACUUUUAGCUCUCAAGAUGUCUUCUUCCCAAAACGACAAGAAGAGUUCUGAUGCUGAGAUGGCUGAGGCCUCCUCCCAGGCGCCGGGGUCAACCCCUUCCGACAACGCUCCGGCCUGUGUCGCCGGUUUCCUCUCUUUCCGAGAGAAGAUGGCUCGUCGUAAGGCUGAGAAGGAAAUGGCCCGCGCCGACGCCGAUCUCCCGUCCUCUUCCGUUCUGGUUGUCGCUCCGACUCACGAACUCGAGGUUCAGGUUCCGCAAGGUACGGGAGCGCAAGUCAAAACGGGCAUCCGUUCAUGCCAGAUGCUUUGGUGCAGCCUUCUGGAUCGUCUACGACUCCGAUUCUCAUCGAGGGCAACGAAAAGGCCACUGAGGCGAUGCCUCCUCCUCCAGCUAGGAAGGAGAUUGUCCUGGCAUUGCGUGCUCCUAGCGCUACUCCGAUUGUUCAACCAAAGGGCCGGAAGAGAAAGUGUGUUAGGUGCAACGACGGGGAAUCUUCGCAGCAUGAAGGAUUGAAUCUGGCGUCAGGACUCCACGAAAAGGUUUGUUCUUCACUUUGGCUUUUUAUUCUUAGAGCGUGAGGUCUUGUUUAGCCCUGUUUUGCUCCGCAUCUCUAAUUGUUUUACCUCAUCUCGCAGUUUGUGUCGCUGAUUGAUGGGAUGAUCAGCGAAUGCGGUUCCGAGGUCAGUCGUCUUGCGAGAGAUUUGACCGAGAUGCAGGACCUGCCGAUCGAAGAAGGGUCAGAGUCAAACAUGGAUGGGUUCAUUCCAUAUGUGCCUCGGACGAAGAGAGAUAGGUUGAAGCCUCGCAAGGACAAACAUCCUAUGGUGGAUGAAGACAUGGUUGACGGGCAGCUUUCUCCAGACAACAUACUCAAGGACUAUCCUGACAGUCAAGCUGGUGGAAGCAGCAGCGAGCAGUUUAAUCUCAAAGGGUUGCUCGAAUUCGAUUUUCCUCCGACCGAGGGUGGAUCCAGCGAAGUGCCAGAGUUUAUCAAGGCGGCGAGGAUGGUCAAUGGGGUAGGUUCUCAUCUAUGAACAUUCUCGGAUUUUUGUUUUGGCCAAAGCUUCCUUGACUUUGAGAAUUUUCGCAGCACCUUCGUAUGAUAAAUCGAGCCCUUGACACGAGCAAGCAAGAGGCUCACAUGGCUCGAUUCAAUGCUGGGGUGGCUGAUAAAGAGAUUGCUCGUCUGAACGAUGAGUUGGAAAGUUCUCGUCGUCGUGAGAGAGAGUCAUUUGAGAAGGAGGUCAACCAUGCCUAUAGGCGAAGGAAGAGAGAGGUGGUCGAAGUUAUGAAGAAACGUCGUUAUUAGUUCUCCCAAGAAUUUGGAGAGCUCAAGGGGCGUUACAAGGCACUCGCGGAUUAUCGCAAGUGUCGUGGAACGGUGGGUGGUUUGUAUCUUACGCAGCUUCCUGACUACUCGUAUGCUGGCGAGUAUGCGACGCAGACCGGGCGUUUGGCCGAGAAAGAUAAAAACUUUGCAAUAUAUGAGGUCGAGGAAAAGAUUUGGGAGCAAUGGGAUCCGGUUCCUGUUUCUCCCGAUACGGUAGAGGCCGAGAUGGGAGACCUUGGUGAUACGGGAUACCUUGGUGAGACGGGUGAGGUAAACCAGCCGGUGGCUCCGCUCGAUGGCUCCGCUCGAUGGCAACGACUACUCGAUCGGAAGCUCGAUGAGUGGGAACUUUGACCUUGGCGAUUGAUUGUUAGGUUUGCUAUGAGUCGUUCUAGAGAGUAUUCCCUUAACUUUGUAAUUUGUUUCUGUUAUUUGUUUGCUUGCUGGCCCAGUAUGGCCGUGUUGUUUUUAUGUAAUGGGACUGGCCGUGUGUGGCUUCGAAUCCCCGGCUUUUGUGUUUGGACCAUGCUUUUAUAAAAAAGGAGGUUUUCAAGAAUGUUAAGAUUUUUGCUAAGUGUAAGGGGAAGGAUCCGAGUUGCCAUCUCGUCCAUCGCCUCUCUUUGUGGAUUGUCAAACUUAUUUCUCAUUGAAGCUGUGAGAGCGUUUUUGGUAUAGACGAAGAGACAUGCUUUCAGGAUCUCAUAUCUUUUCGAUAUCAUGCCUUGAGACGUUAGAGACCAGUGUGCUAGGUUUAGGGUAAGACCUACAUUUACUUUCGGUUAAAGGCUUUUGCGAUGACUAAUCGGCUUUUGUUUUCCCUGUUGCGAUUUUAACCUGACUCCAUUCCGCAUUAAAGUCCGUGAUAUGUUCUCGGCUUAUACGACUUGUAUGGUACGAAUCGAGCAUCUUCUCCGAGUCAACUGGAAGUGCUAAACCAAAAUUUCGGAUUUUUGUUGUAGCGCGCUUUUGUCCUUGUGCUGGACGUUUUUAAUAGCGACCGACUCGAUUGCGGAUCGGUAGCGACCGACCAAGAGGCUUGGUCUGUCACUACGUAGCGACCGACUCGUUAGCGACCGACCGAGAGGCUUGGUCGUUCGCUACGUAGCAACCGUCUCGUUGCGAAUCGGUCGCUACGUGGCCGAUGACCGAGAGGCUUGGUCGGUCGCUACGUAGCGACCGGCUUGUUCGCGGGUCGGUCGUUACGUGGCGACCUUGUUUGCAUAUUUUUCCGUCGUUUCAUGAACGUGUUCGUUAGUUUCGAUAAAUGAACCAAGAUUGACGCAAUAUUUCACCGCAAGACUUUUCGUAAAAGUAAUCUUUACGAAGAAUACUUUUCGUAAAAACGUUCAUGUUAAAUUUUACUGAUAUUUGGAUGUUAACUUCGUCGUGUCCGUUUUUGACCCCAACGCCCCAGCCCAUUAGAAUCGUGGAUUGUGACGAGAUUCUAGUGCGCGGUUUGGCGAGUUAGGCAAGAUAGGCGUGUUGGACGAAGUUUAUAUUCAAAAAUUCCGCGGAAAAAUAUUGAUGAAGAAAUAUAUAUAUAUAUAAAUCGAAAUCUUAAACUCCUACCUCUAUAAGUAGUGAGCUCCCAUCCUUCAUUCCCUUCACACAUUUCUUUCUUUCCAAACUCUCUCUAGCUUCUUUUCUCACUUUUAGCUCUCAAGAUGUCUUCCUCCCAAAACGACAAGAAGGGUUCUGAUGCUGAGAUGGCUGAGGCCUCCUCCCAGGCGCCGGAGUUAACUCCUUAUGACAACGCUCCGGCUUGUGUCUCCGGCUUCCUCUCUUUCCGAGAGAAGAUGGCUCGUCGUAAGGCUGAGAAGGAAACGGCUUGCGCCGACGCCGAGCUCCUGUCCUCUUCCGUUCUGGUUGUCGCUCCGACUCACAAACCCGAGGUUCAGGUUCCGCAAAGUACGGGAGCGCAAGUCGAAACAGGCGUUCCAUUCGUGUCGGACGCUUUGGCGCAGCCUUCUGGAUCGUCUACGACUCCGAUUCUCAUCGAGGGCAACGAAAAGGCCACUGAGUCGAUGCCUCCUCCCCCAUCUAGGAAGGAGAUUGUCCUGGCAUUGCGUGCUCCUGGCGCUACUCCGGUUGUUCAACCAAAGGGCCGUAAGAGAAAGUGUGUCAGGGGCAACGACGGGGAAUCUUCGCAGCAUGAAGGAUUGAAUCUGGCGUCAGGACUCCGCGGAAAGGUUUGUAUUUCACUUUGGAUUUUUAUUCUUUAGAGCGUGAGGUCUUGUUUAGCCCCGUUUUGCUCCACAUCUCUAAUUGUUUUACCUCAUCUCGCAGUUUGUGUCGCUGAUUGAUGGGAUGAUCAGGGAAUGCGGUUCCGAGGUCAGUCGUCUUGCGAGAGAUUUGACCGAGAUGCAGGGCAGACUGUCUGAGUCUGGAGCCAUGUUGAAAGCUCUCGAGGAUUCUCAUCCCGCAAAGGUGUCUAAGCUCGAGAUUCAGAUCGGAGAGCUUGAGAGGGACCUUGGGAGAGGGACCUUGGGAAGACAGCGAGUUCUUUGCUUAAGGAGAAGAAAGCCAAGAAGACCAAGUCCUUGGAGGUACGUCGACUUCAGCGUCAGAUCGAAAGUGGUGAAAGGUCGGUGAGCCGUGCGGUCGAAGAGGCCAAGGAUGCACUCCGCGUUGAGUUUCAGACCCGUUUGGCGAAGAUUCUCGACUUUCUGGGCUCCCCCGAGUGCAUUCGCAGCAGGGGUUUGGCCCUGGCGACUAUCGAUGGUGGGAUGGCCGUGGUUCAGGCACUCCAGGGUGAAACCCCUUCGUCCUUGCAGGCCGAGGAAGCCAGGUUGUCUGCUUGCAAGGGAGAUCUGGCGGCCGUGGAUGGAAGUUUCGACCUUGUCUUGGCCGAUCUAAAGUCCGAGUGUUUCCUCCCGAUGUGUUCAGAAGACCCAGAGGGGCAAGAUCCUGUGGUCGGGGAAAAUGGAGGCGAGGCGAUGGGUGAAGGGGAGGUUUAGAUUCCAGAUGACGAUCACGGUUAUGAUCUCGCUUGAGAGAUUUUUAUUAUUUUCUUUUUGUUAUGAAUUAGUACUUGCUCCGGCCUUGUAUGGCUGUGUUUAUGUUUUGGGACUGGCCGCUUGUGGCUUCGAAUCCCCCCCGUAUUACGGCUUUUUAUGAAUGGAUAUUCAGUUUGCGUUUAUGUGAGUAAGUGGAUGGUGUAGAAGGAAGCUUAUGAGUUGUCAUCUCAUAUCUUUCUCCCAAAUGAAAUGCUAUAUUUGUGGCUCGUUUCGAGAACUUUCCACAAGAUUCUAACCUCGUGGGAUUUCUGAGGACGUUGAAUAUAAGCAUAGAGGCAUGGUUUAGGAUCUCGUAUCUUCGAUAUCAUACCUUGAGAUGUUAAAGACCAGUGUGCUGGGUUUAAGGUAAGACCUAGGUUUACUUCUGGUUUUAAGGGGUGCGAUGACUAAUUCGACUUAUGUAUCCUGUUACAGUUUCGACCUGAUUCCAUACCGAUUUAAAGUCUGCGAUAGGUUCUCGGCUUAUAUGACUUGUCUAGUUGGAAUUGAGCAUCUCUCCAGGGACAAUUUUUAAGUCUCCUGGAAGUGAUGACCAAAAUUUCGGAUUUCUUUUAUAGCGCUAUUACCCUUGUGUCGGAUGUAUGAGAGUCAUCUUUGCGAGAUGGCUUAGUCUGUUUAGGACGUUGGGAGUUCGAUGUGAUCAGCAAAGAACUUAGAGGUAGACACUAUCGUCUGGAUCUUCGCGAAGAGUACGUGUUUGAGAGGAUGUUAAUGUGUAUGAUAGUUCCGUUUUUUUUAGACCAGGAUUUCGUCUACGCGAUGUCUGGCGGGAAAUAGUUUCUUAGGCGUUUUUGCGACCUCUCGCAAUGCCAAAGGUUGAUUUUUCCCUAGUGACUGGUGAAUUUGCGUGUUCUUUUAAGACUCGAAUAUAAUUUGUGGAUCGAAGAUGAUUGUGCGGUUUGUAAGGUAGAAAAGUUUCAAAAAUAUCGAAAGCCUGGUCAGAUAUUUUAAACUUAUGAGUAUACGAGUACGCGUAUACGUACCCACUCCCCCCUUUUUUAGAGAGGGGGAUAACUGAAUUUGUCUUCCGACAAACUGCCUACGUACCCCUUUCGGAGAUCAAGUUGUCUUGUAGUCCAGUGGUUGUGAAGCGAUUUGUUUAGUUAUAGUAUUUUUUUAGAUCCAUUGCAUUCCAAGUUUUUGGAAUUUUUACGCCUUGCAUGUUGGCUAUCUCGUAGGAACCUGGUCGGACGACUUUUAUGACUUUGUAGGGUCCUUCCUAGUUUGCUCCUAAUUUUCCCGCGUUUCGCUCAGCGGUGUUUUCGAAGAAUUUGCGCAGAAUUAAAUCUCCUUCGUUGAAUCGGCGAUCUCGAACGUUGGAGUUAUAGUAUUUUGUGGCUGCGUGUUGAUAAUUUUGAAUUCGGAUGAGCGCUCGAUCUCGGUUUUCGUUGAUGAGGUCUAGAAUGUCUAAGAGCAUGGCGUUGUUGAGCUCUUCUCGUUCAGGCAGUAAUCUUCUUCGGACCCCGGAAAAUUCGACUUCCGAGGGAAUCAUGCAUUAUGUCCCGUACACGAGGGCGAAAGGCGUUUCUCUCGUUGCUCGUCUUGGGGUCAUGCGAUGUGACCAGAGGACUCCCUCGAGUUCAUCAACUGCCUUUUUUAGGGUCUAUGUGUUUCUUAAGUCCGUCUAGGAUGGUCUUAUUGAUUGUCUCCGCUUGACCGUUGCAUUGUGGAUAUCUGGGAGUUGAUUUGUUUAAUCGUAUCUUCCAUUUUUCGCAAAAUGCCUCGAACCGGGUGGAGAUGAACUAUGAUCCGUUGUCAGUUACGAUCUCGUAGGGAACUCCAUGUCUACAGAUAAUGUUUUUCCAUACGAAACUUUCGACUUGGACAUCUUUUAUACUUGCGUAUGACUCUGCCCCCACCCACUUUGAGAAGAAAUCAAUAAGGACUAAGAGGAAACGCUUUUGCUUUGGAUUGUAAAGGGGUCCGACGAUGUCCAUGGCCCAGCGCAUGAAGGGAUAUGGUGAUGUGAGGGAAGAAAGAACUUCUUCUGGUUGUCGGAUGGUCGGAGCAUGCCUUUGGCAUUUUUCGCAUUUUCGUGCGAAUUUCUCACAAUCUCCGAUCAUCGUCGGUCAGUAGUAUCUGUGGCGUUUGAUUUUUACUGUAAGUGACCUUCCACCGGAAUGGUUUCCGCAGGAUCCAGAAUGGACUUCUUCCAUGACUUUUCUCGCCUUUUCUCCUUCCAAACACGUCAUGAGCGGUCCGGAAAAUUUUCACUUGUAAAUUUCUCCGUCGAUCGUCACGUAACGCGCGGCUUGGGUUCGGAUUUUGCGGGCUGCCCAUUUUUCGGGGGGUAAUUUUCCAUCGAUGAUGUAGGCUCGAAUCGUUUCCACCCGUAGUCGGAUUGUUAUGAUCUCUCUUCUGGCUGUACCGCGAUCUCCUCUACAUCGUCGUCUUGAUCCCCGAUGAGGUUGAUAACGAUUGGUGGUCUGAUACUCGGGUGCUCGAUGAAUUCGACCAGAAUCACUCUUUUAAGACCUGGGUCUAAACUUGACGCCAGGGCCGCGAGAGCAUCGGCUUGGGCGUUUUCGGAGCGGGGGAUUCGCGUGAGAGCGAAACAGUCAAAAUCAUGAGCUAGAUUUCGGACCAGUUUGAGAUAUGCAUCCAUUCUUUCAUCCCUUGCAUUGUAUUCUCCAUUAUAUUGACUUGCAACUAGCUGAGAAUCACAGUAGGCGUGGAUGUUGCGAAUCUACAAUUUGUGAGCUAAUCGUAGCCCUGCAAUGAGCACUUCGUACUCCGCCUCGUUGUUGGACGCGUGGAAUUCUAGCUUAAACGAUUGCUCUAGGAUUUCAUUGGUCGGUGACGUAAGGCGAAUUCCGAUGCCCGAUCCUUGCUUAGAUGACAAUCCGUCGACGUGAAGAACCCAUGUUGAAUUUGGUUCCUUGUUAGUCAUGGUUCCCGUCGGUAGUUCUACCAAAAAGUGUGCGAGUACUUGGGAUGUUGCACUCGUUCUUGGUCGGUAUUCUAUAUCGUACUCACUUAACUCGACUGCCCAUUUGGCUAGUCUUCCCAACUGGCUCGGACUAUGCAAAAUCGUCCGCAGAGGGAAGGUCGUGAGGAUGACGAUCGUAUGAGAUUGGAAAUACGGUCAUAGCUUUCGUGUCGAGGUUACGACUGCGUAUGCUAAUUUUUCCAUUAGUGGAUAUCGCGACUCAAUAUCUAGCAAAGUUUUGCUUACGUAAAAGAUGGGUUUCUGUUCACCGCGCUCCUCUCUGAUCAGGAUGCCGCUUACGGCUGUUGCCGAUACUGCGAUAUAUAAGAACAAGGGUUCUCCUUCGACAGAUUUUUGCGAGAACCGGAGGAGUGGCUAAGUAGUGUUUCAGCUGUUGAAAAGCGUUUUCGCACUCUUCUGACCACUCGAAUUUUUUGUUCCCCUUAGGAUAUCGUAGAAAGGUAAGCAUUUGUCCGUUGAUCACGAGAUGAAUCGGUUAAGUGUUGCAGCUCUCCCAGUUAAUCUCUGUACUUCCCGAUUGUUUUUGGGUGAAGCCAUGUCGAUCAGUGCACCGAUCUGUUUUGGAUUAGCUUCGAUACCACGGUAUGUAACCAGGUAACCGAAGAAUUCCCCCGAUGCCACGGCGAAUCUGCAUUUUCUCGGGUUAAGCUUCAUGUUGUGCAGGUUUAACCGCGCGAAACAUCCCUCAAGAUGAGAUACGUGAUCUUCUGCAUGGAGAGAUUUGACGAUCAUGUCGUCGAUGUAGACCUCCAUAGUUUUACCGAGUUGUUCGAAGAACAUCCGGUUCACGAGUCGUUGAUAAGUUGCGCCGGCGUUUUUGAGGCCGAAAGGCAUCACUUUGUAGCAAUAAGUUCUGCGAUCCGUAAUAAAUGCAGUUUUUUCGCGAUUGUCAGAGUUCAUCAUAAUUUGAUUGUAACCCGAGAAGACAUCCAUAAAAGAUAAGAGUUUGUUUCCCGUUGUUGCUUCGACUAAUCGAUCGAUGUGCGGUAAAGGGAAGCUAUCCUUUGGACAGGCUUUGUUAAGGUCAGUGAAGUCAACGCAGACUCGCCACUUUCCGUUUUUCUUCUUGACCACAACAGGAUUGGCGAGCCAGUCCAGGUACCUUAUUUCUGUUAUCAACCCAACCUUAAGCAGUCUUUCGACUUCGUCGUUGACCGCAUUAGCGCGUUCAGGUCCCAAUUUUCGUCUUUAUUGUUUGACUUGUUUGACUGGUUUGAAGGUUGGAUAGAUAUUCAGCUCGUGGCAGGUUAUGUUGAUGUCAAUCCCCAGCAUGUCUUCCGCACCCCAGACGAAUGCGUGGAGAUUCUUUUUUAGACAAGUUAUAAGCUUAGUCUUUAAAGGCUCAUGGAGGUUGGCUCCGAUUUCGACGCAUCGUUCGGGGAAUGCUUCGUCAAGACAUACUGAUACCACGGGUUCGCAGGUUGGCUCACGCUUUUCCUCUAGAAUUCCGGCUUUCCGCAACUGCCAGAAGAGUUCUGCCGAAUAUUGUUCUUGGGCUUUUUUUUCAGAGGCCAACUUUUUCCUAUGAGUGGUCUCGGAAUCUGAUUUUUUUCGUUUUAGUUAUGCGGCGAAGCAGAUUUGUGAUACCCUCGAGUUUCCCCAGAUUGUUUCGAUUCCGCGAGGGGUUGAGAAUUUGAGGCAAAGAUGGUACGUUGAUGGAAUUGUCUGCAUAAGAUUCAACUUCGGUGUGCCCAUGAUUACGUUGUAUGACGCAGGUCUAUCGACAACUAGGAACUCCGUAAUUUUUUCCAUAGUUCCAGCUUUGAUUAUGAGGAUAAUUGACCCGAGAGCCAAAGUGGUCUCCCCUGAGAGUCCUACUAGCGGGCUAGGGUUUUCCGCGAUUUCGGACGGGUGUUUUUGAAAAUAAUAUUAGCCGAGCUUCCAGUAUCGAUUAGGAUUCUCGCGACGUCGAUGUUCUAAAUCGUCAACUCGAUGACAAGGAGGUCGUUGCGAGGUUUGGUCUGGUUGACCGUUGCUCUACCCUUAAAAGAGAUGACGUCUGUACCUAUCGAGUCUCGUAUGUUCUUUCCAACGUCAAUCGUCAUAUCUGAUCGAGCGUGUUGUAGCUGAGAGUUAGAUUGAUCCGUACCCCCCUUCUUCUAACGCCAAACAGUGAGAACCGAAAUUCGCACUGUCGAUUUCCGUUUAGAUUAGGAAAGUUAGGAAAACCCUAAUUUCUCAGAGGUCUCGGAUAUCUGCUAAACCACACGCCAAGCAAUCAAAACACGAAAUAAAGACGAGAAAAAUAAGAAAUCGAAAAGAGAGCAAAAUAGAUCUUAUUCUGAAUCCGCGUUUGAGCGUUACAACAAGGUAAGAAUCUGGGCUACGAGAACUGUCGGCGAGAUUCCUAGUUCUAAAAACCCUAAGACUGUAAGACCUAAUUGAGUCGCAGCUCGAAUAACAAAAACGAAACGUUGCCUAAAAUUGCUCUAAGUGCUCAGUUUUCUCUGAAAAAGUUCUCUCUUUGUGUCUCUCGCCUAGGACUCCUUAUAUACUCCCUCCAAGGUCGGUUUGAGCUUUUUCCUUCCUGCCCUUAAGCCGUCAUAACUCGAAAAUGGAGAUAUUCCAUUUUUCCCGAUUUUCAUGAUUAUCCGCGGAAACUUAACAUUUAUCUGCGGAAUCUUGACAUUUAUCAUUUCUUGUUGACUAAGUAAAAACCGCCAUAGUAUCUAUGGGCUUUUCCUUAAAAAAUCGUAUGUGGGUUUCUAAUCGUGUUUUAGACAUAUUUGGUCCGUCUUUCAAUUUGAAACGUUUAUCACGAUUUUUAUCGAUAAGAAUGAACUUUCCGUGAUUUUUAUCGUAAAGUUUAAAUGUUAACUCCAAUCGAUGGGAGUAAGAAAUGAUAUGACUGCGGUACAUAGAGCUAGCAUUGAGGAACAGACAAGAAUGCACGGAUUUGGGUCGUACCCGUUGAUCGAUGUCCGAGACAGUUUGGUCGCUACGUAGCGACCGGGUCCGUGAUGGAUCGGUCGCUACGUAGCGACCAAACAAAUGGCUUGGUCAGUCUCUACAUAGCAACCGACUCGGUUCGGGUCAGUUGCUACGUAGCUCUAUGUCUUUCACUGUCAAUGAUAUCAUUGUACUCAUUGAUGCAUUGUCCGAGUCCUCUGGAUCUCAGGGCAACAAGAGUAUUCUUUACCAAUUCUAGGUAAUUAUCUCCAGAGAGAUUUAGGCAGAGUAAUCUAAGGGUUCAAAUCUCGACAUCUGAAUAUUUAACGAGUAAUUCAAGCACUCAGAAUUUCUAUGUAAGCAAUAGAAUAAAUCAAUGUAUAUGAUUUCAAUAAGGCUUUCCCCCAAAUCAUAUAAUCUAUUUGCUAUCAGGUAUAUAUAUAUGAUCAGUAUAUAAUUCAAUCACCACAAAAUCAGUUUUCAAAGUUGGUUUUUAGAUCAAGAUAAAUUUAUAUCAUUUGUUCAAACUAUAAUGAACCGAUUUCAAGGCCGGUUUAGAUUUAGAUAAAUUUUGACAAACAACUAUGUGAUCAAAUGAUUUCAACUUAGUAUUUAUUUUAGCCUAUGUCAUAACUAUUUAAAUCAAGACUAUAUGUUAUAAUAUUUUGAUAAAUACUACCUAGUCAAAGAUAUGCAUUUAAAACAAUCAUAAAAGUUUUAAAUUUUGAUCAGUUACAAUAUAAAACAUCAAUGGUCAAAGAUAUGCAUUGAUUAGGAUUUAAGUUUUGAUAUCUUUGGGUUUGACUGAAAGAUUAUGGCUGAAAAGAUUGUAUAGAUCUUAGAUUAUUAAUAAGUUUUAUAAGUUUUUAGAGAUUCUUAGAUCUUUAGAGAUUCAAAUAAUUUUAGAAUCAAGAUUCAUAUAGAUCUUAGAUUCAAGAUUAAUAUUUGUGAUAAUUUUAGAUCUAUAGAUUUUUAUAAGUUUUAUGAUUCAAAUAGAUCUAAUAAUCAGGAUUCAGAUAUGUGGUGUUCUUAGAUUUUAUGGAUAGAUUAGUUUACCUUUUAGAAAACACCAAAUUGAUCUGAAUGGACCACCGUGAGAGAGAGCUGAUCCGCGGAUGAGCUGGUUGAGAGAGAGGUGGAGGAACUGGCCGGAAAACCGUGAGAGGGAUAGACUUGGCCGGCGGAACAAGGCUGAGGGUCGGAAGAGAUGGUCGGAAAAGAGAUGAUCGAAAAAGAGAUGAUCGCCGGCGGAUGGGAUUGCUCAGGUGGAGAGAGUCUCGUGCUGAUAACGUAUUAAAAUUUGAGAGAAGAUUUGUGAGAAUGUGUUGUAUAUUUCUUAUUGCUUACACCACUAUAUAUAGUGGUUCAUACAAGGUGGAGUCAAAGGGAGAAUUGAUUACAAAGAUACUCUACAUAAUGACAUGGUCAAACUCAUAAAGACUAAGGUUGAAUGGGUCUUCCAUGUGGCUGGAUGUAAACCUCUAAUGGACUCUAAUCUUGAACUUGUAUGGUCUAGGUUAUGGACCAUCCACUUCAUGAUUCAUAACAAAACUCAUAUUUUUGCUUCCAUCGCAAUUAAGGAAGAAAAAGAAGAAGAAUACCUCCUCCUCUUCCACUAAAGUCUUAAGAAUCACAUCGAUCUCACAAGUCAAGACUUCAGAGGAGAUGAAAGGAAACCUAAUAGAGAAACAUGAUUUAAGGUCAGCAAUACAUCUGUAUAAGUACAAACAGUUCGAGAGAACUAUUCUAAAUAUGGUUAAUCAAACUUGGUUCAAAAUAGUUCGCAGACAUAUUCUAGAUCAAGUCAACAGCAAACUAGGUAAAAUUCAUCAGCAAAAGCAACGGAAGUUAUAUCUUAAAGAAAAAAAAGAAAUGCACAUACUUGAAGGCACGCUUGCUAUCAGCAUCUUCUGGAGAUUCUUCAACAACAAAACGUAAUAACUGUUCCACUUGGACACUUUCUCUCAAAUUGCAGAUGAGCAUAUAUAAAAUAAAAGCAUAAAAGGCCAACAUCCGAACCCUUUCUACUACUAAGAGAAACUAAAACUCCCAUUGUAUACCAGGGUGGUCCUGCAAGGAAAACAUAAGGUACGGUGAAGUGAUUCUAUCUUUUUUUUUUUGUGUGCAAUAUCUGCUGGCUUGUGUAUCCUCUUCAAUCUUAUCAGGAAGGAUUCAUAUAUAUAGAGAGAGACAUGUCAUAGUACAAACAAGAUAUACAGAUAACUACAAGGAGAGGACGCCUUAAAGAAUUACAAAUUAAUGAGACGGCUGUUAAAAGCUCUGCAUUCUUGGAUAAUGUCUUCCUCAUCCAGGAGUUCUUCCAAAGUGAAGUCUCCUUGUCUAAUAUGGAUUCGACCUGUCAAUGGCAAGCAAAAGAUAAAGAAGACAGUAGACCAAAUGGACAAGAACUCCCCAAUCAUCGCAACAACAGUGUAUCUGUCUGAUUUAUAUAUUCCCUAAACUACAUCACGAGGACUAUGAAGAUUUUAACAUCAAAGUCGAAGCAUCUGAAAACCAAACAUUGAUACGAAAUCUCAAACAUUUCAGAUACAAAAGAGACCGUCGAUUCAGAACACGAAGAGUUCAUCGGAGCGGAGAAACAACCUCAACCAUAGAGUGAUACUCACCGGGGAAGCAGCAGAGAGAGCAGUCAACUUCCAGAACAUGGUGAACGAACGAAGCAGAACAGAGGAUGGUGAUGACGAAGAAGGAUACGAGCUACGUUAGAUCUCUACUCAGACCCAAACUCAAUCACUAAAUCUUAGGGCACUAGCCAGAUGAAGUAGAAAAAACCCUAAUUUGAUUCUGGUGAAAAGGAAGGAGAGGCACAAAUGAAAAAGGACGAGAAAUCACGUAAUUUAACAAGAAAGCCCAAAAAAAAAACUAAUCUCGGCAAGGCAUAAUUAAAGAAGAAAUUAACUAGAGUAUAACCCGCGCUAAAGGAGGAUAUUUUUAUUUUUAAAUUUGACAAAAAAAAUUAAAAUUUUUAUUUCAAACAUUUUAGGCUUUUUUUAUUAAUAUGUUUAUACACAAUUUUUCAAUUUGGUAUUUGUAAAAUAUUUACAUGUGAUUAAAGUAGGUUGCUUAAUAUAUUAUAUUUAACAGUUCUAUUUUAUACAUUAUCAGAUUUAUUUUUUGGAUUGAAAUUUUAGCACAUUAGAUAAAAUUUUGAUUUUGUAAAAUUUUGUUUGUGUUUAUUUUUUGUGUUUUUACUAACAAAAUAAAUUACUACGAUUUGAAUUUGCUGUGUUAGUUUUAAACGAUUUUAGAUCUUGGGGUUUUUGCAAAUAUGACUCAAAACUUGAAAUCAAACACAAAACUAACCAUGUUUUUUUAUGAGCUUUGACUUGUCUCUUUCACCCCCCAAAGUUCAGAUUAUUCACGAAAAUAUCACCUUUUUUUUUUUGAAAAUGCAUAUUUUACUCUAUCACCCUUAUCUUCCUCAAGUAAUCACAAUAUUGUCUUUGUCAUCAAUACACCAACCACCAUGAACAACCAAUUUGAAGCUCUUAAUGCACCUAAAAAUCGAUUUACACUCUUUCUUUACGCUCUUUCUUUCUCAAUUCUUAUGAACUGAAAACAACAUCUCUUUCACUUUCUCUCCAUAUCCAUCCAAAAAAACGCAAGAUUUUUAUUCUAAAAAUUUUAUGGUUCAUAGAAUCAUUGAAGCUUACGAUUCUUGGUGGAUCACUUUUGUUUGAGAUUCUGGGUGUUUGGAGAAGACUUUUUUUUUAUGACCCUGGUUUCCGGAGCCUCGAGAGGAUCCGACUAGCGCCAAUGACCGUACACCGGAGCUUAGCCGGGGAGCCCGCUGAGGCAUCCUGGAGGGUUGGUGAUCACCCCAUGUAAAUCCCACCAGUGGCCACACGUUAGCAGGCUUCUCCGUAUUCGGCCCGAAGGUCCCUCAAGAUAAUCACCUCCCAGCGGUACUCGAACCCAUGACUUCCCAGGUUGAGUUUAACCACUGGACUACUCCGCUUGGAGAAGACUUAUGUGUGCUAAACAAUUUAUCUCACUGAUUGAAACUAUGAAAUCAGUUUUUUCCCCAGAUCUGUUCGUCCAGACGACUUACAGGGAAGUCUUCUGGUCAAUACAGAGGUUAAUUUUGCAAUUGACUUUUAAAUGUAUUUUUAUAGACGGCUUACAUGGAAGUCGUCCAUCUUUGUUUGAUAAAAAAAAAUUCGAGACGACUUCCUUGUAAGUCGUCUAGGGUAAAUGGGUUAGUUUUGCAUUUGACCGGAUUGUGUCAGAAAUUUGACUUUUCCUGGACGACUUAGUAGAAAAUUAAAAAAUCAAUAUUUUGUUAUACCUAAACGACUUAAAUGGAAAUCGUCUCAGGUUAGUUUUGCAAUUGAAAAAUAAAACAAAAAAUUAUUUUUUUCAAGAUGACUUACACGGAAGUCGUCCGUCCGACGACUUACAUUGAAGUCGUCCAUGAUUUUAUUCCGAGCUUCUGGUCAAACCUUGCUUAUCUUGGACGACUUCCAUGUAAGUCGUCAGACGGACGACUUCCGUGUAAGUCGUCAGACGGACGACUUCCGUGUAAGUCGUUUAGAAAAAAAUAAUUUUUUUUGUUUUAUUUUUCAAUUGCAAAACUAACCUGAGACGACUUAUAUGGAAGUCGUCUAGGUAUAACAAAUAUUGAUUUUUUAAUUUUCUAUUGGACGAUUUACGUGUAAGUCAUCCAGGAAAAGUCAAAUUUCUGACAAUCCGGUCAAAUACAAAACUAACGUGUUUUCCCUAGACGACUUACAUGUAAGUCGUCUCGAGUUUUUUUUUAACAAACAAAGAUGGACGACUUCCGUGUAAGUCGUCUAGAUUAAAAAUCAAUUGCAAAACUAACCUAAAUGGACGACUUCCUAGAAGUCUGCCAGACGACCUACGUGGAAGUCGUAUGCGUCAAUGUUUAAUAAACUUUCAUUUUCUCUAAAACUAUAAAGAAUUUUUAACAUUUUCUUGUUAAUUCAUGUCUAUUAAUCAAUAUUUUAGCUACUGAAUAAAAUUUAUAACUUAAUUCGUGAUAUUUAUGAGGUCACCAACAUUCAUGUUUAUUGAAGUUUCUAACUGAUCCGAGAAGACUUCCACGGAAGUCUUCUAUGCUAGUUGUUGAAUAACUUGUAUUUUUAAGAGUUUUAAGUAACUUCAAGAAUGUAAAACUCAUAUUUUCAAAAUAUGUUUUCUGCCUUAAUUUUACUAAAUUGGACUAAGUUUUUCAACACAAACUUGUAAGAAUUGUGAUAUGUUUUGACUAGUUACUAUUGUUUGUUUCCAUCUCUUAAGUAUGCACCAGUGAUUAUUAUUUCUAUGAGUGGGUAAAAUACUUGUUUCUUAAAAUGUUGUAUCAAUGACUUAAGCAUCAUUAUUGUUAUAUGCAUCAAUGAUGUUUUUUUGCUAUGAGUGAGUAGAAUUGUUAAAAUGAUUCUUAAUAUGUUGUAUCAAUGACUUAAGUAUCAUUAUUGUUAUAUGCAUCAAUGAUGUUUUUUGCUAGAAGACUUCCUAGAAGACUUUCCAGAAGACUUCUAAUGAAAAUGUUAUAUCUUUGAACUUAUGUAAUGGUUUAUCUUUUGUGAAUUUGACUAAGUUUUCUUGAGAAUUCUUCUCCUUUAGUUGUAAUAAAUUUGAUUAAUUUUUCCUGCUAUUGUGUUUUGCUAUUUAAGUUGUAUCAAUAACUUCAAUUAUAUCAAGUAAUUUUGGCAAGAUAAUAUUGUGGAAUAUGAACAUAUUUACCAAAUUUUUUAUUAAUAUCUAUUCAAAUUUAUAAAAACAAAAUCUCAACUAAAGGAGUACACAUGCAAAUCACAAAACAGACCAGAAUCAAAACUAUUAUAGAUCAUUCCUCUACAAAGACAAGAUUGGACUCCACUUGUUAUGGAAGAAGACUCCGCCAGAAGACUUCUAGGAAGUCUUCUAGCGCAUUAUAUUUUAGAAGACUUCCGAGAAGACUUCCCAUAAAUCUUCCAAAGUCUGCUAUAGAUCUGAAAAACUUGCAUAUCAAAAAAUGUUCAAAUGACUUAAAAACAGAGAAAAUGAGUGGAAGAUUAUACAGAUCUACUUUUAUAGAACACACAAAGUACAUAUCCAAGUGGAAGAUUAGAACCAUCUGGUUAAAAACAUGAAACAAAAAGAUAGAUUAAUGAGAAAGACAUGAGACAAAAAUGAAAAAUUCAUAUAAAGUUUGGUGUUUUCAAGUCAAAGAGAUUAGAAUGGGUUUGGAGAGUUUUAGUUUGGGAAAAAGGUAAGAAUUUUAUGCAACAUAAAGUUACUAAAUGAAGAAAAAUCAGACAUAAAAACUUACCAAAACGCUCAGAUCUGUUAUGAAAGGGAGACAUGUGAGAAGACUCCAUCAGAAGACUUCCAGGUAAGUCGUCCUGGAAGUCUUCUAGCGCAUUAUAUUUUAGACGACUAACAGGUAAGUCUUCCCAGAAGUCUUCCAGAUCUGAAAAACCUGCAUAUCCAAAAACGUUCAAAUUGUUAAAGAAGUAUAUAGAACUCUAAGGACCUCUAUGUAAAUACUCAUUAGUGUUAAUACCCUACUUGUAUCUUGUAUAAAUAUCUUCCGUAUACUUGAUAAUAAAGUUAUUCAGCCUAUUAUCUAUAUGGUAUCAGAGCCAAUGAGUUCUUGAAACCCGAGCGAAUGAGGAAUGUCUUGAGUUCUGAGUACCAGGCGCGAGGAGCCUGUUUCAAGCCAUAUAGUGCAUUCCGAAGUUUGUAGACAUGGUGAGGUCGAUCCAAAUCUGUGAAACCUGGUGGCUGUGACAUGAACACUUCUUCUUGAAGAUGACCUUAUAGGAAGGCAGUAUUGACAUCAAUUUGUCUUACUGGCCAGUCAUGAUUCACCGCAAGACCAAGAACAAUCCGAAUGGUAUUAGACUUUAUAACUGGACUGAAGGUGUCGCCAUAGUCAAUACCUUGUUGCUGAUGAUACCCUUUGGCGACAAUCUGAGCUUUAUAUUUGUCUAUGCUUCCAUCAGGAUUGUAUUUUAUUGUAAACACCCAGCGACAAACCACAACAUUCAUAUGUUGAGAAGCUUCUACCAAAUCUGAAGUUCUGUUCUCAUUUGUUGAGAGGAAUUCGCGUGACAUAGCGUCUCUCCAGUAUUUAUGCUUCAUUGCUUGCUGCCAAGUCGACAGUAUCCAGUGUGGAUCACACUCAAGUGUAACAUUGAAAUUAUAUUUGGCCACCGACUUCACUAUAUUAUUUCUGGAGCGAGUGGUCAUAGAGUGUCUGCUUUCUGUUACCACUGCUUGAGUUUCAGACGCUACAGCUGCAGUUCCUUGAUUGGAGGUUUCUGCAGGUGCGUGAGAUGAAGAUGCCUGAGCCGGUUGAUGAGUUGUCAUCUCAACUGCUGCAGGUUGAAAAUUUUGCACAUUCGCUUGUUCUGUAGGAGCAGUGGUGACUGACGGUGGUUGCUGCAUCACAGGCGAAGAACCAGGACACAGAGGUUGAUUGCUAGCAGCCAUUGGAGACGAUUAUAUGAGCGACGGUGUACACGGGAUGAUGGUAACAGGGGUGCUAUCGUAGAUAGGUGUGGGAUCAGGUGGGUUUGGCACGGUUUGUUUGGUCAUGGUGGGAAAAGGGAAUUGGGUUUCAUUGAACCUUACAUGGCGAGAGACAUAAAUUCGACCAGUAAGAGGAUCAAGGCAUUGAUAUGCACUUUAAGUAAGAGAGUAGCCAAUAAAGACACAAGGAAGGGAUCUGUUUUCGAGUUUAUUUGGAGCAUAAGGCUGGAGCCAAGGAAAACAUAAGCAACCAAACGUUCGCAAUUUCUUAUAGUUUGGUGUGGAGUUAAAAAGCUUUUGAAAAGGAGAAGUGCUUGAGAGCACGGGUGUGGGUAAUCUAGUGAUGAGAAACACGGCUGUAGCAAACGCAAAUGGCCAAUAUGAUAAAGGAAUUUUGGCUGAGGAUAGAAGGAAUAAACCUACUGUGACAACAUCGGUGCUACAUACCUUUGUGCAAACCCGGUUUUUCAUUCUCGGAUGAAACUUAUAGCCAUCGACUAUCAUUUUGUACGAGGUCAGAUACAACAUGGUCUCUUGCGUGUCACACACGUUUCCACUCAUGACCAGCUUGCGGAUGGGUUAGCCAAACCACUCUCACGAAGACCUUUUCAGAGUUCAUGAAUCAAGAUUGGUGUUGCUCCCUCACCACCAUCUUGAGGAGGCGUGUUAAGGAAGUAUAUAGAACUCUAAGGACCUCUAUGUAAAUACUCAUUAGUGUUAAUACCCUACUCGUAUCUUGUAUAAAUACCUUCCGUGUAAUUGAUAAUAAAGUUAUUCAGCCUAUUAUCUAUACAAAUGGCUUAAAACAGAGAAAAUGAGUGGAAUAUUAGAUAAAUCUACCUUUAUAGAACGUACAAAAAUACAUAAAAUUAAUAGAUCUACCUUUAAAUGAAUGGAAGAUGAGAACCAUGUGAUGAAAAACCUGCAAAACAAGAUAAACUAGUGAGAAAGACAUGAGACAAAAACAAUAAAUUGAUAUAAAGUUUGGUGUUUAUAAGUUCAAAGAGAUUAGAGAAAGGUUGGAGAGUUUUAGAACGAGGAACAUACCAUUUUUGCUACAGCCAUUUGAGAGGAGGAGAAAGAAUGUGUAAAUUUUUCUUUAUAUGUGGAGACAAAAAUUCCAAUAAGGUUAAAUAUUUUCGUUUAGAAAACUUUCAAGUAAGUCAUAUAAUAGAAGACUUACUAGACGACUUACUUGUAAGUCGCCCAGAAGACUUCAACAUUUUUAGCAAAAAAAUAAAAUAUUUUUAGCGGGAGUUAGAAGACUUUCAGAGAAGUCUUAUAAUCGCCAGACGACUUACCUGUUAGUCGUCUAGACCCUAAAUGCAACCCCUAAACUAAAUUAACUAACUAAACACUGCAUAUAAAAAGUGUUUACUAUACACAAAAAUAAUCACACGUAGGUAAAAAUUUAAUUUUUCAAAAAAAACAUUUAACCUUUCCAAAAUCUAACCCUAAGAAUACAUACAAUACUACAACAUAUGUUGUAAAAUCCUAGACCAAAGAAUAUCAUGAUUCACUACUUUCACUCAUCUAUGUUGAAAAUAAUUCAAUUUUAUUAUAUCUUAAUUUAUAUCACUUAAAACUGUUUAUAAUUACAUGAUUUUAAUUUUUCGCUUAUCAAAAUAUUUUUUACAAAAUUUAUAAAUUAUUUUUAAGAUCCACUAUACCAGACGACUUCUGUGGACGUCGUUCAGAAGACUUAACAAAAUCUCAGAAGACUCGGAAGACUUAGCAUGGCUAUAUUCGUAAAAAUGAGUUCUGUUUUUUUUGUUUGGUCACAAUGGGCUGGCUGUAAUUUCACAAGGCUUUUAGGUUAUUUUUGCAUUUAAUUCAAGUUUUAGUAUAAUUUUCCAAUCAAAGUCAAGUUUUGAGUCAUAUUUGGCAAAUACCCCUUAGAUCUUUGAGGAAUCUUAUUAUUUUAAGAAGUUGUAUGAAAACAAACGUUUCUGUAUGUAGAAGAUUGGUUUUUAAAAUGUUGUAAUUUAGUAUUGAAAGUGUGUAUAUUAAUAGCGUGGAUUUUAGGUGUUAAUAAAAUAUUGUGUUUGAAAAAAUUAGUUAUACUCAAAUAUUAAUGUGUAUAUAAAUCAAUUGGAUUUUUUAAUAUAUUCAAUUUUUAUAUAUGUUUAGAUUAGAAAUAAAUUUUAGGUUUUAAUAAAUAUGACUUAGUGUAUGUAAAUAUAUUUAUAGGAUAUUAACCUAUUAAUCACUCUCACCGAUAAUUACAGAUAAUUAUUAUAUAUAUAGUAUCUUAAUAAAAUUCCGAAAAUAUUUCUAGAUUUUAAUGAAUUAAUAUAUAAUAAUUGAUAUCUUAAUAAAUUUGAGAAAAUAUAGGUUGGUUAAAUGAAUAUUAAAACAAUAAAUAAUUUGUUACAAUUUCAAAUUGUUGAACUUGAAUUUUGUUUUUAUAUUUGAAACUUAAUUAGUAAAUAAAUUAGGAAUAUUUAAAAUAUAUAUUUAAUUAAAAUUGAUUUAAAUAUAUUAUAAUAUUUUGGUUCAGAAACCUAUAUAUAUUAUAUACUUUGUCUGACAUAUGCAUGAUGUAUUAUCAGAUUAUAAAUUUUUAUUAUAACAUAUGAAAACUUUUUCUUAACAUAUGAAAACUUGAUUCUUAUUUAUACAAAUCUGACCUAGUAUAGAUACACGACAACAAAAUUAUACAUUAAUGGAAUACGUAAAUAUGUGCUUACUCAUGUUUUUUUUUUCUUGACGUCAAAUGGUCAUUCUAUUAUUCAAACUUGAGGUGGUCUGGGUAACCAGACCGAAAUAAAACAACCAAUAAAAAGUAACUCUCUAUGGAAUGAUCUAGCAGUUUUAGCUAAAAUAUCCAAAGCUGAUUACUCAUGUUCAUAAAACAAUUAUAUGCAUACACAUAAAAGAAGUCGUGGAUAUCAUGCAUUGUCAAUGAAAAUACACUAUAUGCAUAGUUAAUUAAUGGCCCACCAGAGUAUGUGAUUACUUAUCACUGUGCAAAUCGUUUUACAUUAAUCCUGAGCAAUAUUUGGUAUUGUAGAUAUAAUAGAAAGUGGGUUAGACAACAGAGAAGGAAUCUUAGCCUCUGAGCGGCGCCUCUCCUCUGCGACAUAAAGAGCGGAGCAGGUAGUCUUCUCCCGAUCUCCCUCCUCGGUGGGCAGUAUUUCUCACCGCCACCGGGGAUGGAUUCGCCUAGUCGUCUUCUAGCUUUGGUCUUGUCUUUUGUUUCUGUCAUGGGUCGUGAUGUGCAGAUUUGAAUGUUACUGUGACUCCCUAUCACCACAACGCGACCUAGCUUCACGCUUUGGAUAAGUCUUCUCCUUUCUCCCUUGCGGUUUAUCGAGAAUUGGUUGAGGUUUUAGUGAGGAUUCGAUGGUUAUGGUAGGCUACCUAUGGUAGCUAGGGUUUGGAUUGUUAAAUUUGUUGCGCCUUAUCGUUGUUUCCUCCGAUCUGGUUUCCUUGCUUGUGGGGUGUAUCUCGUUUUGAUGGUAGUUCAGGUUCAGUUUUCGUCCGGAGAGUUGGGUUCUGUGGUGAGUCUGGCGCCAUAUGUCAGAUUGAGGAUCUGUUGACGGUGCAGUGUCGCUGCUGGGAGCAGGACAGGUUGCAGUAUGUUCACGGUUCAACCUUAGUUUUGAGAGGAAUGUAUAUCGGAGCGAUUGAUUCAUUGUCGGUCGAUUGGCGUGUCUUGAUCGUGUUUGUCAUGGAUUUGGAGUGGUUAUUAUCCAGUUACCGGCUGUGUGAAUAAGACGUUCCCCAGAAAACUGGAAAACUUUAUAGGCUUUGCCGUGGGGUGAUGGUGCAUAUGAGGCGCGUGGAGAGCACACUCAAGAUCCAAUGGAGAGACUUAGUUGGGAUUGAAGGGUGUUUACAUCGACGGUUAAGGAUUCUAACCUCUCUCGAUUCAGUUUAUAUGUUUGGUGAUGUUCGUGUGCAUCUAGUCUAUCUCGCUGCUCCUCUCAUAUUGUGUUAAUGGUUGAUGAGUUCUAUUUCGGUAAACUCGUUUUUGAGCGCACGGUGGAGCACUCCUCUCCUGAAUUUCUGUUUUACUCAUCUGCCUCUCGACUUCGUGUCUUUGUUAGUUUUUAAUGGGUUUGUGUUGUAUCCAUCUUUUGGCUCCGGGUGGUACAUGUUACCUCGCCGGUUUAUGGCUCUGGAAGGAAUGUAUUCCUUGCCGGCUCUGGUUUGUAAGAAUUGUUGUUUUUGUCGGCUCUAGUUUGUAAGAAUUGUUGUUUUUAUGUUUAAUAUAAUCUAUAGAUGACAAAAAAAAAAAUCUUAGGAUUAAGAUGGUUUUGUGGUCAUGGUUCAAGUUAUAGUGGAUGGUUCAAGUUAUAGUGGAUGGGGUUAGAAUCAGGGCCUGCUCAAAAAUAGUGGGGCCCUGUGCCAUUUUUUUUUCUAAUUUAGUGAAUUUGAAGUUGAAACUUUCCAUGUAAAAACUAAAACAAUUAGGAUCCUACUGAAUAAAGAAACAUUGACUAAAACUAUAAUAACUAAAACUUUAGGGCCCUAAAAAAUAAAGAAAUUUUGACCACAAAUGUGGAACCCUGUGCUGUUGCACUCUGUGCACUCCCCUAGAGCCGAUACUGUUUAGAAUCAACAGUUUGUUUCUGAGAUGGUGUGGGAAGAAAGCGGGUUCUAUACAUGACCGCUGAUUACGGUUACUCGGCGAGUCAGACUGGGAGCCAUCAUUAUCGCUAUUGUCUGCGACGAUGAAAUCUUUGACGGGAUAGAGAAUUGCGGUGGAGAAAAAAAGAAAAAAAUCUUAAAGCAGCCGUAUUAAUGAACCCCCGGUUGGGGUUCAUCAUGUGAAUUUUUUAUUUUUUUUUAUUUAUUUUUCGUUUGAUUUUUUUUUUGAAAAAAAAAAAAAAUUGACCAAUAGCAGGCCGCCACGUGGCGUGGAGCCCGCUGAACAGUAACGACCCGGGUUCAUGCAGAAGGAGUGUUGCGAGACAGAGUCGUGACUGUAGCAUAUUUUAAUAAUUUUUUUUCGGAAAGCGUGUGAACCCCCCCUAUGAACUCCUAAUACUGGUGCCCUUAGUGUGGAGAAUUAUGGUGAAAAAAUAGGGAGAGAAGAAAAAGAAUGAUAAUUGCUAUCGAGAAGAAGAAGAAGUGGACGGGAUGUUGUAGCUUGGUAUAGGUCUUGGGGGCCAAUUGUCAUGCUCCUGGGUUCGACGCCAGGCGGAGGGAAACUGUCCAUCCUGUCAUCAAAUGCGGUACUGAAUGUUGGGCCUUGUCUCCAACCCAGGUAAAGCCUCCCGGGUGAAGUGGACCGCUGCCUAACCGGGUUCAGGGGAAUGAUCCACGUAAGUGGGGAACCCCUGGAUUAUAAAAAAAAAAAAAAAAGUGUGUAGCUCAAAUUUUGAUUCUUCGAUCAGUUUGGUUAAAAGGAUUUUUUUGGUAAAUCACAUCAAAAUAUCUCACACCAGGGUAUGUAAAAGAGUAAAUAGAGAAAAUAAAAGUACGUCACGACAUAGUUUUUUUCAACUUUUGUUGUCGGCAAUUCAUUUUAGAAAAAUGUUUAGCUAAAUAACUCUCUCUUAUUAAACACAAGACUGAAAUUAAGUAACCGUGUAAGUACUUUUGGUCCGGUGGUUUUGACCAAAAAUUCAUUAAUACUUCUACAACAGGAAGUCGGAGUUUUAAUUCCUAGAAAAAGCAAAAUUAUGCGAAUUAAGAGAGAAAAAAGCUUACAAAAGAUAUGUAAUAUGGCCAAGGAGUACCGUCAAACGUGGAUUUCUUAGGACGGCUCAUGUGAUACAGUCAGGCGUGAAUCAUCAUACGGCAGGUAAAAUUAUCGACCGUAAAAUUGUCUGUAAUAUUUCUCAUAGUUGUAACAGCGUAAUUACCGAACGUUAAAAAAAAAAAUUUAACUAACAGAUACAAAAACAUUAACUCCUUGGUUCCAAAUUUAAAACGUCAAUCAUUGCCUUCGGUUCCUCCGCUCGCUCUCAGAUUCCUCUUUAAACGCAUCAAAAAAACAAGAACGCGUCUCCAAAACGCAUCUUCCGAAUCUCUCCGACAAUGGCUCUCCAAGCCACUACUACUACGUUCUCCUUCUCCGCUCCUACUUUCCGAUCAACUCCUCCUCAUGCAUUGACCUCAAAGCGUCGUAUCUCCAUCAAAGCUUCUUCUUCAGGACUCUCUUCUCCUCCCCUCCUCUCCCUUUCACGAUCUAAUCUCAAAGGUUAACCUUUUCUUCACUUGAAUUUUUUGAAAUGAUUAAAAAAAUAAACUUUCGUUGAUCCCUAGAUUGUUCAGGACUGUCCCUCAUGAAAUCUUCUGGAUCUAACUGUAUAAUGUUACUGAACAGUAAAGUCUUAUGAAUGUAUAUAGCAUUGUAUAAUCAUUAAUAACAAAGUUCACAUUUUUUAAUGGUAAAAAGGAAGAGCCUUUGCUAGUGAUGGCUCAACGCAAGAGUCUCCCUCCGUGGUCUGUUUCGGAGAAAUGCUUAUCGACUUCGUACCAACAACAAGUGGGCUUUCCUUGGCCCAAGCACCAGCUUUCAAAAAGGCUCCAGGUGGCGCCCCUGCUAAUGUUGCUGUUGGUAUCGCUCGUCUCGGUGGCUCUUCAGCUUUCAUUGGCAAGGUGAGACAACACCUCUGCGUCCUAUUUUGAGUUUUUCUUGAACAAUUUGUGAAUGUGUUGUUGUUUUGUGCUAACAGGUCGGUGAAGAUGAGUUUGGUUAUAUGCUUGCAAACAUCCUCAAGGAGAACAACGUGAACAAUGAAGGCAUGCGUUUUGAUCCUGGAGCCAGAACUGCAUUAGCUUUCGUCACUCUGACAAAUGAAGGCGAACGUGAGUUCAUGUUCUAUCGUAACCCCAGCGCCGACAUGCUGUUAGAAGAAUCUGAGCUUGAUUUGGAUUUGAUUAAAAAGGUAAACUAACUUAUAAACAUUUUUUUAGUUGUUACUUUGAAACAUUUUACUUUUUUAUGAAAAUCAAUCAUUUUGUGUUUGUGUGUGGCCAGGCGAAGAUAUUCCAUUACGGUUCGAUAAGUCUAAUCACAGAGCCGUGCAAGUCAGCUCACAUAGCUGCGGCAAAGGCAGCUAAGGAAGCUGGUGUGAUUCUUUCGUAUGACCCUAACCUCAGGCUCCCCUUGUGGCCUUCUGCUGACAACGCUAGAGAUGAAAUCCUCAGCGUUUGGGAUACUGCUGAUAUCAUUAAGAUCAGCGAAGAGGAGAUUGAGUUUCUAACGAAAGGAGAAGAUCCUUAUGAUGAUUCUGUCGUCAGGAAGCUGUUCCAUCCUAAGCUGAAACUACUCCUUGUCACUGAAGGCCCUGAAGGUUGUCGGUACUACACAAAGGUGUGAAGAGUCCCUCUCCCUCUCCUUCUUUUGAUUUUGAUCCAAACUAAACUAUGUAGCCUUAGUCUUGAUACUCAAAGGUUAUUUUCGAUUUUACAGGAUUUUAGCGGGAGAGUGCAUGGAUUGAAGGUGGAAGUAGUGGACACGACAGGUGCUGGAGAUGCGUUUGUUGCCGGAAUACUAUCUCAGCUAGCAUGUGAUCUCUCAUUGCUUCAGGUAAACUUUGAUUCUUGUCUUUUGGGUUUUGAGCGUUGAUAAGCUAAGAUGAAGUUUAAGCUAUAGUAAUCAGCCUAGGAGUUAAUGUAGUAGAUUGUAGUGGUGUUGAGUUGGUUAGAGCCUAGAGUUAUAAGAAUAGAAUUUUCAAAGCUUAUCAGAGUUAUGGUCAUUGUUUGACGCAGGACGAAGAAAGACUGAGAGAGGCUCUAAUGUUUGCGAAUGCGUGUGGUGCCUUAACCGUAAAGGAGAGAGGUGCAAUACCGGCACUUCCUACGAAAGAAGCUGUACUUGACGCCCUACUCAAAGCCGUCGUCUAACAUCAAAAACAAGAACAAAGUGAGAAAGCAGAUUCAGAUUUUUGUUCACCAAAUCUGUAUUGGUUGUUUGUUGUAACAUAGCUGUAUGUCAUUAGUGUAUCCUCACAUUGUUAUUAUGCUAGCAGAUAACUAAACUAGCCUGUUUUGUCAAGUCACGAGGUAUUUAAAUAAAGAAAAAACUAGUAUUUCUUUGCAUUUUAUAAAGAAGAAAUUAAGUUUAAAACAUUUACACAGACGGAAAAAAAAUCACUUUUUAUCAUCUUCUUUAGUUCUUGGACUAUCUAUUACCUUUGCCUACAAAAGAACAUCAUCAUCGUCUUCAAACUCUGUUACUCCGAGCAUGGCAAGAGCAAGAUGACUCUUCAUCUCAGAUUUUGUCCGUUGCAACUGCGGAUAACAGUCCAUUAAACUCGAAAGAUUUGACUUCGUCCUGCUUGGAAACGUCCUUAGCUCUACUUUCCUGCUUUCACCUCCUUUCAAAAUCGAAACAAUCUCUUUCACUCCAGGUCUACGUGACUCCUCAUCGUUCACACAUGCUCUUGCUGCUUGGAUCAUACGCUCCAUUGCAACCGAGUUCUUUCUAGUACGUGUCAGCCUUGGAUCUAGCAACUCCUCUAUAGCCUCCAUCCCUCUACGUAACAACGGUUUCGCCUGCCAAAAAUACGGUUAUUACACAAGUUUAACUACACUUGAACGUUCAUGUAUUUGACAAGUACUUUGGUCGUAGACCCGGUUCGAGUGACUACUUGGACGAAACUAAUAUUACACGAUGGGGUCUCGAACCCCAUGAUAUUAAAAAAUAUAUAUAUAUACAGAUUCUGGUGAACCAUGAACAGUUGAACCAUAAUUUUGUAGUUCAACCAAGCUUGACCGAAACCUGAAUUUAGCAGGCUAAUGUCACAAAUUAAAUGGCAUUUGGUUGGAAAUUACUAUUUAAUUUACCAUAUUUAGAAAUAAGUUAGUGGGGAAGCUUGUGGAAUUUAAGUUGCUACAAGUCAAUAGUUUUGGUUUACUAGUAAUUAUCUGAAAAUAAAAGAUAAGAAGACACUUACCCAAACUACCAAAUUUUCUUCACCAGAUGGUCUUCUUACUUCAAUUGGCUUUCGACCCGUUAUUAGCUCAAGCAACACGACUCCAAACGCGUACACAUCUGUCUUGUCUGAUAUCUUGCCGUGUUGAAAAUACUCUGGAGCUAGAUAACUACAACAAGUUUCCCAAAAUGUUUGCAUUACUUUUUAUUUCUAUAUAUAGUAAUGACUUUAUGGGAUCUUAAAGGUUUUUCAAGCUAGAUACCCGAAUGUUCCUUUCACGGUCUUACACAGGAAAGGAACCGAAGGUGCAGCUGUCCAAGUCGCCAACCCAAAAUCACACAACUGAAACAAAUAUGGAAAUUGUGAUUAAACAGUACACUGAUCAAUGACCACAAAGAGUGGUUAAGUCUCUUUACCUUUGGCUUUUUGUUUGAGGAAAGAAGAAUGUUAGAGGGUUUGAUGUCUCUAUGCACAACGCAUUGUUCAGUGCCGUUAUGUAAAUAGGCUAUGGCAUCUGCAAUCCCUAAGGCGAUCUUGUACCUUGUUGACCAAGGCAAACAAAAGGGAACCUUCACACCUCUCUUCUUAUUUUUCUUAUCUAAUUCAGAAAGCAAGGAAAAAUAAUAAUCAAUCUCUAACACAGCUUGCAAUUCAAUGGUUGUGGAAAGAGAAAAGAUCCGCUGAAGGGUAGUUACCGUGUAAAUAGUGCUCGAGGCUGCCACCAGAGACAUACUUGUAUACCAAGAAAGGCCCUUGUUCGGGAUCGAUACAGAACCCUAGAAGAGGCACAAUGUUAGGGCACUGAAGAGAGCUUGCAAUCAUCAACUCUCUGCAAAACGACUUUGGAGAUUCUGUAUCUUCUUUGUCAAGUCUUUUGAUAGCCAAGGCUUUUCUCCAAAUCCCCAUUCUGCCCCUAUAUACACAGCUACAAGCUCCUCUUCCCAACACUCUUCCUAACCAAAAUUACAUCAGAGAAUCACAUAACUCAUCAACUUUCAAGUAGGUGUGUUUUCAUAUGUUUUGGGGUUUAGGGUUUACCUUUUGAGAAAUUGCGAGUGGCGGUGACAAUUUCACUGUAGCUAAACCGGAUCAAGGUACUGGUCACUGGAGAAAUGCUCUUCUCAAGCGAAAGAGCCGUCGACCAGUUCAUCUCAACCGUCGGUUUAUCUGUCUCCCUAACCUCAUUCACCAGAAGAACCGUCGUCGAUCCUUCAGACACCUGAAAAGACUGACAAGAAGAUGAUGGUUCCUCCCUUCUCAUCUUCUCCAGCUCCACCUGUGAGCAAAGACUAAACCUAAAUGACGACUGUCCUGAAUAUGGGUCUGACUCAAUAAACGUUGGUCUUGUUUCCUCCAAAAGCCAAGCUUUGUUAUGCUCAUGAGAGCUCUCUGUGGUUCGACCAGAGAGGAAACAAGCGAAACCCAAAUCAAGAAUCAUUUUUUUUUUUUUUUUUUUCAAAAUGGGUUUUGAUUACUGAAGAGAUCUGAAGAAGAUCACAAAUCCAAUACCCCAGAAAACAAGAACAAAAAGAAAAGGGAGGCAGAAAGAAAGUGACAAGUUUUCUCUUUAAAUUUUUGAAAAGUGAAAAGUUGAUUCUUUAAUGCUUUUGCUUAUAGCACUCUUUGCAUUUAUAAAAUAAAAGAAAAGUUUCAAGAAGAAGAAAGAUGAAUUAAAUCGUCAGUGUAUUGUUUGAUGUUGGUGUGAUGUUGGAGCAAAGAAAAAGAGUGGAGGGGGAAGAUAAUUGUGAAUAUAUUAAUUAUUUUGAAUAAUUGUUAGGCUUACAGUUGGAAGACGAUAAUUGGGUAUUAAAUAAUUGUUUGAAUAAUUGUUAGAUGGUAAUACAGAAAGAUUAGUUGGUAAAGACUAAAGAGGUUGUUAAAUGCUAAAAGAGGGACAAGACCAGAGCCCACGACCACGAGAUGAUGAGGGUCAUAAUCAAUUAUGGAAAACUAGACUAAUUAGUUCUGACUCAAUUUUUUUUCUUUCUCAAAUACACAUUUACAUUUGCAAAGAGUUACAGUCAAUCAAAUGGUUAAAAUGAUUUAAUAUGUUUAUUUGCUGAAAAACAAUGUUUUUGAUAUGUUCAUCAUCCUAUAUCUUUAUGUUUUCUUCUCUCUUUCUUGGUGGGAUCAGAAUUUUAAAGUUACUAUAACAAAUCAAAAUGUUUUUUUUGAAACGCCUCGAUCCAAAAUUUUCAAAAAAAUCCAUUGAAAAUUCUAAGUAAAAGCUUAGAAGAUUUUACUAAAUAACAUAACGCCUAAUACUGGAAGCAUAUAUAGUACAAUUAUAUUAAAUGAGUACAUCCAAGUUCAUAACACUCGAUUCUCAAUGAUUUCAAUAAUUAAUCUCUUGCUCGAGACCAAACAAUUGAUCUUCACUUGCAUCACAAAAAAAGAAAGCAUGAAUACUUAACAUUUUUUUUUUUCUUAACAUUUUUACCAAAAAAAAAAAAAAAAAAAAAAUAUACAAUUACUUAGUGAUAGCGCUCAUUAUCACUCGCAUGCAACACAAUAUAACGGACAGCUUUGUCAAGCUCUAAGAUUCAUUUUAUUCAUCUGUUAAUCUGUUUUCAUUUUCAUAUUUAGUCAUUUUUCAUCCACUCAGCUAUUUUUGAAUACUUAGUUAUUUCUAUACACAUUUCUGACCCUGAAUACCACUUAUGUUCCAGAUCAUAUGGCAUGAAGCCAACAUACGGGUUAAAACCACUACAGCCGAAGGUCAGUCAUGGACUCAUGGUCAUCAACAAAGCUCGACCGGAAGCUCCCUCAUGUUAUGGUCUUCGACCAAGCUUGACCUGUAUGUCCCUCCUGGUCCUCGACCAAGAUCGACUCAAGGGCUUCUCAUUGUGCCCGACCAAACUAUCGUUUAUUCAGAUAAAUAACAUACCUAACAUCUUCUAGCAUCAUAUCAUCAUAGACUGAUACACAUAACAAAUCGUCAAAAGUAUUGGCUCUAAGUUGAGCUAAAUUGAUGAAGUUUAGAUUGUCGGCAAGUUUUAUACUAACUGCACAGCUUGAAGCAUGGAUUCAAGAUUUUCUCUCAAGCUCCACAUACGGAUCAAAAACAAAAACACAUAGAAUUACAAGUUUGGUGCCAAAUACUGAUACCUAUGUUCGGACAAAGGCAUUCUAUAUGAGUCUACCCUUCUCGCCACACACAAAACAGAAUAACGAACAGUCUCACUUAAAUUUUUUUUACUAUGCAGUCUCUCUUUUGGUAAAAAGUUAAAUUUACUUUGCAGUCUUUCAAACACUCUAUGACAAUGACACCUAAGUUUUGGCCCAUCUUGAAGUAAAUAAAUUCUAUAAAUUAAUACUCCGUAAAUUAAUAAAUUUUUCUGAUCCCAAGUUAUCCGGCUCAAAAUAUGACACAAAUCGAUAAAACAAUAAGAUAAAUUUUUCUUAGAAAAUUUAUGUAAAUAUAUGGUCCCAUUAAAAUUAUAAAUUAAUAAUUUAUAUGCAUAGACAUUUUAUAUAAGCACAACCUAAUCAUUAUAUUAAUUGUUUUAUAUUCACAAUGAAAUUAUCUUUAUAUUUUUUUAAAAAAAUUAAUAUAAUUUGAUGAGAUUUUGUAAAAUUAUAUCUAAAAUCCCAUUUAAAUUCUGUGAAACAUUUUUUAUACACACCAAAUAAUAUAAUAAAACUAAUAUAAAUUUCGAAUUUCAAAAGUUAAUUAAUGUAUAUACGAUAAAAUCAAAUUUUUUUAUUUUAUAAAAAUAUAUCUUAAAAUUAAAAAAGAACUAAAUUUUUCAAUAAAUUAAUAAUUCUAUAAAGUAAUAAAAUAUUAAAGUCCCAACAAUACUAAUUUAUAGAGUUCUUACAGUAUACAUGAAUAUUCCUCUAAGAAGAAAGUCAGUUCUCAAAAAAAAAAUCUCUCUGGAAAAAAGUUUUAUCUCUUGUGUUAUUUUUCCGUUACAAAGCCCAUUUAAUGUCCUUAGAUUUUUCCGUUACGAAGCCCAUUUAAUAUCCUUAGAUUCUUCCGUAACCAUAUAUAGUGAAACUCUAUAAAUUAAUAAUAUUGAAACUAUAAUAUUUUAUUACUUUAUAGAGUUAUUAAUUUAUAGAAAAAAAUUUCUGGAUUUUUUUAUAUUUUAUAAUAUCUUUUAAAGAUAAAAAAAUAAUUGAAUUUACCGUAUAUACAUUAAUUAAAUUUUUGGAAAUUUGAUUUUCAACUUAUUUUUAUUUUAUUUUUAGUGUAUAUAAAAUAUGUUUUAUAAAAUUUAAAUAUGGUUUAGAUUUAAUUUUACUAAAUAUUAGCAAAAUAUAUUGAAAUAUUAAGAAAAUAAAGAGAUAACUCUGUUGCGGAAUAAAUCAAAUAAUGCAACAUUUUUGUUUGUACUUAUAUAAAAUAUAUAUAUAUACAAAAAUUAUUAAUUUAUGAUUUUAACCGGACCAUAUAUUUACAUAAGAUUUUUAAAAAUAUUAUUAUCUUAUUAUUUUAUCGAUUUAUAUCAUAUUUUGAGCCGAUCCAAUUUGGGUUUGGAGAAAUUUAUUAAUUUGUAAUGUUUAUUAAUUUAUAGAGUUUUUGUAUACAGAUGUCUCCUCCAUAGGAAAAUUACAUUUCUUAGAUUACAUAAAUACAUUAAGAUCUAAUCUCAAUAUUGUGAAAAGUUAUAGUGCAGAAGAACAAGGUCCACAUAAUACUAGUGUACAAUUUCCUAGCUUUUAAAAUUAUUACUGUCCUUUUUAACCUUUUCUCCUUAGUCGUCGUAUAAUAUUUGUCGGUUUGCUGAGAUAUUUGUUUCACAGCGUCCGAGAAAAGAAAAAGAGCAUUUCGUCGUCUCUGAAGCGAAAACCCACCAAAAUCAAAAGAAAUGGCGGAUCAGCUAACGGACGAACAGAUCUCCGAGUUCAAGGAAGCGUUUAGCCUCUUCGACAAGGAUGGCGAUGGUUCGUCUCUUCUCAUCCUCCUCUCUCUCUCUCUCGCUGUUCCGAUCGAUGCUUUAUCGUCCUCAGAUUCAUAUCUUAUAUACUCUGAUUCGUGUGGUUUGCCUUCAUUGCUUAUUGUGAUUGAAUCGAUUGAUUUUAAGUCUCGUUUGAUGUCGUGUUUGGGUCUAGAUUUGGUUGAUGAUGUUCACUUGUUAUUGCUUCAUGUUCUAUCUUUCUUGAUUGUUCUAUCAAUGAUGUUUCUUUAGAAGCUGCGGUUGUGUUGAAUGCGGAUCCUAUUGGCUUAGUGAAUAUAUGAUCUCUCUUUUGGUCUCUCACUUCCCACUUGGAAGAAUAAUUACUGCGAUUCGAUUCAUUCAACAGUUUGCUUGUAACCAGAUUCAGGUGGUCUUUGUGUGUAUUCUGCAUUGCUUGCUUAAAUCAUGUUUUCAUCUGUAUAUCAAUCUGAUUCUUUCAUACUUGCUUGUAUUAUUUGGGAACAGGUUGCAUCACCACCAAGGAGCUGGGGACAGUGAUGAGGUCUCUAGGACAGAACCCAACAGAAGCUGAGCUCCAGGACAUGAUCAACGAGGUGGACGCGGACGGCAACGGCACCAUUGACUUCCCUGAGUUCCUAAACCUCAUGGCUAAAAAGAUGAAAGACACGGACUCGGAGGAAGAGCUCAAAGAAGCUUUCAGGGUGUUCGACAAAGACCAGAACGGGUUCAUAUCCGCUGCAGAGCUCCGCCAUGUUAUGACGAAUCUAGGCGAGAAGCUUACUGAUGAAGAAGUUGAUGAGAUGGUCCGUGAAGCUGAUGUUGAUGGAGAUGGUCAGAUAAACUACGAGGAGUUUGUCAAGAUUAUGAUGGCUAAGUGAUAUAUAUAUAUAUAUGGUAUGGUAAGAAGAAACUAAGAAGAAAGGUGGUGAUGAUAUAACCUUUUAUUGUCUAGAAAAAAAAAUCGAUCUGUUGAUUGAGCUUAGUAGUUUUCAAGGUUUUAACCUUAACAGACUUUGUUGGUUAACAAAUAUUUAUUUUGUGGGUUUUUUCUUUGCUGACAUGUUUUUUAGAUAUUGGUAGCUAGUGUUAUGAGUGUAUCGCCAAAAAACUUUCUGCGGGAAGAGGGCCCCAAUUACACGAAUUACGUACGAGUACGACAUAUGAACUAAUUCACCAUACUAAUAACCACGCAAACUGAUUUGCUGAUUUUGCGAUGUCACAUAAUAAUAUACAAUACUAGGGUCGGCCCGCCCUACGGGCGGGAUAUUAGUUAAUUUGAUAUUCACUAAAUGCUCGAGUUAAAAUUUGUUUUAAGAUUCAAGAAUUUGGUUAUUUAUUAUGUCUUACUUAUUAGUAUGCGGUGGUAUAGUUGUUUUUUGAUUAUUCUUGUUUUGGUAUUGUAUCAAAUUAACUAAUUGUCCAACUCAUAAUUAUAGAUGUACAAAUGUGGAUUUGUGAUAAAGUUUGAUGACAAUACUGUUUUUUUUUAAAUUCUUAUUCAUAGUGGAGUGUGCAUGUGUCAGAAAGAGGCAUAUAACAACUUUUAUGUUUUCGUGUAUGGAUUUUAAAUAUAUAUUAUUUUGUAUAAUGCAUACUUGCUAUACAACAUUUGCUUGUAGACUAAAAAAAUUGUUUUCUAUAUUUUUAAAAGAGAAAAUAUUUAGUCUAGAAUAUAACAUGGACAUAUGUAUUGACUAUAUAUAGAAGUUGAGUGUUAUUUUAAAAUGACAUAUAUAUAGAGAUUUUUCAACCAUUACUUCACUGACACAAAACAUUUAUAACUGUAAAUACCUUCUUUUAAAAGCAAAACUAAUAAAGCGUGUACAACAAAUGUAUUUUGAUAUAUAUUAUAUGCAUCAAAUUAUAAAGGUUGGAAACAUUGCAAAACUGUUUGGAGCAAAGUUUUUAACUUCAAAAUCUUCAUCUUGGCGUCAGUUCAGUGUCGGCCCUGGCCACAAGCAGAAGAAGCAUGGGCUUCCAGCUGACACAAUAAUAAGUAUUUUCGCGGCCACAUAUUUAUAAAAAGUGACUUUAGCCUAGUGGUUCUAAGAGAAAUUACCAGUGCUAGAGGUGCUGUGUUCAAUUACCCUUAACUGCAUUCAUUUAUUUUGGCUCUAAAUAUAAAAUGGGACACGUGUCACUCCCAUAACGCACGACUUGAUGACGUGGCUUCACGGGAGAGAGGCGAACAUUUCUUUAUAUAUAUAGAUGCUCGAAUGGUGGCUCAUAGCACUUUUUUAGAAAGUUGGGAUUUAGAGAAGGAUGGAGUCUGUGACAUAGUGGUGUGAAACAAGUCUAUGACAUAGUGAUUCUUUAUCAUCAUCACAUCUUAUUCAAAACGAGCAUAUUAAAUAAUGACAAACAUAUAGGUUUGUUUAUAAAAGAUCGCCUUGAAAUCCUCCGAGCAAUAAACUAAUUAUCUCAAGUUUUCCUAUGAUAAUUUGCUCUUACGUCGAUAAUAAGAAUCAGCGGACUUGAGAUUAUGGGAUUUCUCAGGAUUGAUGUGGAGCCAUAAGACAAAAGAUCAUCUCAUUUACAAAGUUUUGUAUUUGUGAAUAUUAAAACUAAAAAUAAUAAUGAAAAUUUUAUGUUUUUUAUAUAUGAAUAUCUUACGUUAAAAAUUCAAAUACUAUGAUAAAAUCUGGUAUUUUUAUUCAUUAAUUUUAACUAAAAUUUGCCUUUUAUACCUAAUCAAAUUUUAUUUGAUAGAUUUUAUUGAUGAAAAUCUAUAAAUUAAUAAGUUGAUAUAUCAAUUUUUUUAUAAAUUUUAAUGGAAGGGAGAAUUUUUUAAAUGAAAUCUUUUCAAAUCAAUAAUCCAGUAUGCGCAUGGCUUAUGUUAUAAAGAGUCUAAUACUGAUUUUUAUAUACUAACUAGAUAACGCCCGUGCGUUGCAACGGAUUUUGUUUGAUGUUUUAGUAAAAAAAUAAAAAUAAAAAAUCAUUUUAUUAUAGAUUGAGAAAUACCCUAGGAUAGCACCUUAAAAAGUUCUUGUCACAAAUAUAGACUCUAAGGAUCAAAAUGACCAAAAUGUUUCAUUGAAGAGCUAAAUAUAUAUUUAUAUCCCUAGGGUUAACUAAUCCAAAACUUAUAGGGUUUAAGUUAAGGAGGGGGGAAGGGAUUUGGGAUUGAGGUUUAAAAUUUUAUAAAAUAAAAAAUAAAUAUUAAAAAUUUGAAAAUAAAAAUAGUUUCAAAAUUUAAUUUCGAAUUACAAAAAGAAAAUUUGAAAAAAAAAUAAAAACAAAUUUUCGAAAUUUUUUUUAUAAAAAGUUCAAUUUUGAAAACAUAUAAUCUAAAACUAUAAAAAAAAAUUUAUAUAUAUCUAGGGUAUUAAGGUCUUUUUACCUAUUAAAUAAAACAUUUUGGUCAUUUUACUCCUUGUGUCUAUUUUUGUGACCAAAACUUGAAAAUGGUCUAUUUAGGAAAAUUGUCCUUAUAGAUUGAGGAUUUUUUUUGUUUGCAUAAGCUGUGAGAUAUUUAUUUUAUAAUUACAAACUCAUUUACAUACGUAAAUUCCAAUUAGUAUUUGUAUUUAUAAUCAUGGUGCAUGAUAAAUUGUUAUCAACUUUGUAUUUAAGGCUAGAGAAAACACUCAUACCUAAAAAUUUAAACCAAACUCAACCAAAGUAAAAAUUAAAAUGAAAAAAUUGAAAGCUAAAUAAGGUCAAUC